UUCAAGUAUAUGUCAAACUGGACCAUCCCAAGCAAAAUCGUUAACCAAAUGAACAAAAGUGACUCAAGUAGAAACAUGCAUCAUUUUUUUUAAAUAUCCAUCAUCCGAACAGCUCUUAUAUGCAGGAACACAAUAAUUCUUUCCAAUAGCAAAAGCAUGGCAGGAAGCGAAGCAACAAAGACCCGGGAAUAAUCUACGCUUAUUACAGGCAGAAUUAAUAAGUAGAAACAUGCAUACAACAGGUUAACAACUACCAUAUGCAGAAUUACAUAACUCUGAUUUCAAUUCUCAGCAAGGAUUGGUCCAUGAUCUACAACUCUGAUACAAACUCAGUGCAAAGCAGAGUGGAAAGAUCACUCAGUUACAGGGGUUUUGGCAUCAAGCAAGACUUGCUCUCUCCUGGUAAUCUGGUCACUUGGACAUGAGCAUCUUCGGUGCUGGCUUCUUGCUCACCGAGGUUUAUGUGCUGGUAAGAUGACACCAAACAAAGUCUGAAUCAGAGCACAAGACCGUGUAAGUCCCACACAUCCAUACUUAAAUUAUUUGCUCCUGAGCUGAUCUAAUGAGUAAAAAUAUCAUUUCACUAGCAGGAAGAGAACUGUAAUUUGUACACUUUACUUAAUAUCAUUACUAAACUUGCAAUAACAAUUUGAUCAGGUAUAAUUUCUGCCAUAGUGGGGAGAUGAAAUUCCUACAACGUUCUCUCGAAUAUGUGAGUGGAAAGAUAAUUCGAAUGCCAGCUAAUUCAUUUGGGUAUUGUUACUAUCUAGAACGAACAUUAUAUCUAUUUAUGGGUUUGAUGAGGUCCCAUUUCACUCUUGCUCCAAUGUACUCCCUCCAUUCCUAAAUAAAAGACCUUGUAGAGAUUUCAAUAUGGACUACAUACGGAGCAAAAGGAGUGAAUCUACACUCUAAAAUAUGUCUAUAUACAUCCGUAUGUAGUGCAUAUUUAAAUCUCUAAAAGGGCUUAUAUUUAGAAACGGAGGGAGUACACAACAACAUAAAAGUUUCCUACAUCUACAUAACAAAGCAUACAUAGUAAGGAGAAAUAAAUGGUUUCGAAUUUUUUAAAUGGACUUUAUGACUAUUCUAUAAUGUGGAUUAAUAGUGUAAACAAAUAAAUUUUUAAAUGGAGUUUGUCACGGCCUCUACUACUACCGCGACAGGCAACAAGGAGGCCCGGCCCAAGAGAGCUAAGAAGCCCAACAGGCUGUUCGACCCGGCCACCUGGGAGCUGGGUGGGUGAUCGAUAAGUAGGUGUGAGCCCGAGGGGUUGGGGCACGGCAUUGUAAUCAGUCAAUCGAUCUCACCUACUCUCCCCUUUCCUCCCAACUCCUGUAACCUCUCCCCUCCGAUCCCCUUUCUCUCUCAAGAACCCUAGCUACCGAAUCUCCCUGUAUCUCCAUGAAUUGAGUAGAUCGAGCAAGAGGGACGUAACAUAUGGUAUCAGAGCUACCGGAUUACUUGAAGAAGCCGACGUUCACCACGCCCCAGCAGCGACAAGCCGACGAGAUGGAGCAGAGAGUGGAGGAGAUGGCGGCGGCGCUCAAGGCCAUCCAUGAGCAGAACGCGGCCAUCCAAAAGGCGGUGGCGGCGACAACCACAAUCAUCACCGAGAUCCAGCCCGUGGUGGCCGAUCUGGCCGCCUGGAAGCCUACGUUGGAGAAAUCGCUCUCCGACGUGCAGCAGGAGUUGGGCGGGGUGCACAAGGAGCUGGACGUCAUCGCGCGGAACCCCGUGCUCUGUCUCAAACCGGGGGAUUUGCCUCCCAUCUUCCAUCGACCGGGAGGCGCGCCGCAAAAUCAAGCCGGCAGCAGCCUCCAAGGGCCUGAAGGCCACCGCAUCGACCAAGCUCACCGGGGGGUCGGCUCUAGAGUGGUCACCACUCUAGUCCCACCUCCGCUCAUGGGUAUGGCACCGUCCCCAAAUUUCCUUUCCUCUACGGGGCAAUUUUCGGUCGAUCAUCGCUCGCGAGCACCAGGGCGGUCUCCUUUGAGGGGCAUGUCCAGAUCUGGCAGUCCUUUGCCUCCAUGAUCUCGUAGCCCUUACCGCCACCACAAUUCUGUCAUUCCGAGGCCUAAGAUGGAUUUCCCUCAAUUCUGAGGGGAACGCCCUCGCAGUUGGAAACGAAACUGCGAGUCGUACUUCCGCGUCUUCCGAUUAGAUCCGGUGCUUUGGGUGGACACAGUUGCGAUGCAUUUCACUGGGGCCGCAAUGGUGUGGCUCGAAAACAGUGAUUUUGAUCUGCGAUACAUGGAGUGGGAACACUUUUGCACCAUAGUCUGUGAGCAGUUUGAGCGGAAUGAGUUCACGGUGUUGUUGGGUCAGUUGUUUCAUCUGAGGCAAACUGACUCCGUGACUGAUUACACCACUAAGUUCACGAAAAUAAUGCAUUCUUUGUUAGCCCACAGUACUACUUGGGAUCCUGCUCUGUUUCCUUCGCGGUUUGUCGAUGGGUUGCAUGAUGAUAUCCGCGUUGUUGGUUUGGUUCAUAAUCCAAAAGACCUCGAUACUGUUAUUUCGUUGGCUUAUUUACAGGAAGAGGCACUGGAGAUUUCCAAGCGACGGGAGCCCAGGCGCUUGAAGAGCAUCACAGGCAAUGGCAUGAGCAGCCGGGCCCAUCUCAAAGGGGCCAUGCCGUUGCCAGCACCUCCUGGACGGCCACCACCUGCGAUCGCUGCGCCGGCAGAUGAACGUCGUGGAGCAGCUGCCGAUGGCCUAAAGGGAAACAGCUCGAUGGAAGAUCGACUGACAACGUUGCGAGCCUAUCGUCGAGCCAAAGGCCUCUGCUAUAUGUGUGCAGAGAAAUGGAGUUGAGAGCACAAGUGUGCAGCAGCAGUGCAACUUCAUGUGGUGCAAGAGAUGUUUGAUGUGUUGGGUCUGUCCAGUGGCUUAAUGGGCGAGGAACAGUCAGAUACUGCAAGUGAAUGUCACACCAUCUCUAGGGCAGCAGUGCAAGGCUCAGUUGCACCCCAGACUCUGCGGUUGCAAGGGAAGAUUCAGAAGUAGCAGGUGUUGAUGCUUGUUGACUCAGGUAGUUCGCACAGUUUUGUCAGUUCAUAUCUGGCCGGCCGAUUGCAGGGAGUGCAUAAAAUCUCAAAUGUUCUGAAGGUGAAGAUAGCGGAUGGGGGACAGCUUCUCAGUGACCAAGCCAUAACAAAAUGUGGUUGGUCAGUGCAAGGGCAAAAGUUUACUUCAGACCUCAAGGUUUUGCCUUUGGGAUGUUAUGACAUGAUCAUUGGAAUGGACUGGCUGGAGCAACACAACCCUAUGGACGUGCACUGGGGUGACAAGAAGAUGGCCUUCAUGCACCACGGGAAAAAGGUCACGUUGCGAGGCAUACAACCACACACCAAGGAGUGCUAUCCGGUGACUAUGGAUCAACUGAACUUCAUGGUGAGCUAUAACGAUGUACACCAAUUGGUUCAUCUCCAGGCGGUGGAUAACAAGAAGAAACAGCAGCCUGAGAUGGAGGUCCCACCACCAAUAGCCAAACUCAUCGAUGAAUUCCAGUCUUUGUUCGAGGCUCCGAAGGGCCUGCCACUUGCAAGGCCCUUUGAUCACAAAAUACCGCUCAAACCGGGCGCUCAACCAGUGAACAUCAAACCCUAUCGGUACAGCCCAUUUCAGAAAGACGAGAUAGAGAAGCAAGUACAGGAGAUGCUAGAUCAAGGCAUCAUUCAGCCCAGCUACAGUCCGUUUGCUUCACCAGUUCUGCUUGUUCAAAAGAAAGAUCUGUCUUGGCGAUUCUGCAUGGAUUAUCGGCAGCUCAAUGCUACUACCGUCAAGGAUCGAUUUCCCAUGCCAGUUAUUGAGGAGCUUCUUGAUGAAUUGGCAGGAUCCAAAUGGUUCACCCGCCUGGACUUGAAGGCUGGGUAUCACCAGAUUCAGAUGGCGCCAGAGGAUGUCUACAAAACUGCAUUCAAAACUCAUCUGGGGCACUAUGAGUUCAAGGUGAUGGCAUAUGGCCUGUGUUGUGCUCCGGGAACUUUUCAAGGGGGCAUGCAUUUUGUGUUGGGACCUUUGUUGCGGCAUGGAGUCCUUGUGUUCAUUGACGAUAUCUUGAUCCAUAAUGAGACUUUGGAAGAGCACAUCAAACUCCUUCGACAAGUUUUUGAACUGUUGGAAAAGCAUCAACUCAAGGUGAAGUCGUCUAAGUGCAAGUUUUCCCAGCAACAACUCACCUACCUGGGACACGUCAUCAGUGAGAAGGGUGUCGCUACCGAUGAGAAGAAUAUCGCAGCGGUCAGAGAUUGGCCAACACCCACUGGAGUUAAGCAAGUUCAGGGGUUCCUUGGUCUGGCAGGUUACUAUAGGCGUUUUGUACGCGAUUUUGGGCUGAUCAGUCGCCCGCUGACGAAUCUGCUGAAGAAACACUCCGUUUUCGUGUGGUCGGCCGAGGUCGACGAGGCGUUCCACCAUCUCAAACAGUCAUUGAUCUCAGCACCGGUGUUGGCUCUUCCUCGUUUUGACAGGCCAUUCGAAAUUGAAACUGAUGCAUCCAAGUUUGGCGUGGGGGCUGUGUUAAUCCAAGAUGGGCACCCGCUAGCUUUUCUCAGCAAGGCAUUGGGACCAAGGAACCGUGGUUUGUCCACCUACGAGAAAGAAUACAUGGCAAUCUUGAUGGCCGUUGAUCGCUGGCGUUCCUAUUUGCAAGGGAGCGAGUUCAUCAUCCGCACGGAUCAAAGUGCUCUAUCGCAUUUGAACGAUCAAUGGUUGCUGACUCCCUGGCAGAGACGUGCUUACACAAAACUCAUGGGGAUGCAAUACAAAGUGAUGUACAGGAAGGGUGCUGAGAACAAGGCGGCCGACGCCUUAUCGUGACGAGAUGCAGAAGUUUCGGCUAUGUCAGUGGCCCUGCCAGUUUGGCUCGAUGAAGUAAUGCAGGCUAUCGGUCUGAUGCAAACGCAAAAGAGAUUUUGCUUCGCUGUAACGAGAUGGGAGACACAGCCUCAGAUUAUUCUGUUCUUGAUGGAGUGAUUCUUUACAAGGGCAGAGUGUGGAUAGGAGUGAACCCAGCCAUGCAACAAAAACUUCUGCAUGCCAUUCAUGCUAGUGCCAUAGGGGGCCACUUUGGCAUCCAUGCCACCUAUGACAGACUGCGACGUCUGUUCGCCUGGGCUGGAAUGAAGCAAGACGUGGAGAACUUUGUGUCAGACUACAACAUUUGCAAGCAAGCGAAAAGUGAACGGAUUCGCCCUCCUGGAUUGCUCGAACCACUACCCAUUCCUUCCCAUGCUUGACAUACAGUGACUCUGGAUUUCGUGGAAGGACUGCCAAUGUCCCGGGGUUAUUCGUGCAUUAUGGUAGUGGUGGACAAGCUGACCAGGUAUGCCCACUUCAUUCCGCUUGCUCAUUCUUUCUCAGCCCUGCAAGUCGCAACCGCAUUCAUGACUCAAGUCUACAAGCUUCAUGGGCUGCCUCAUGCUUUGGUCUCGAACCGUGAUAAGGUUUUCACCAAUCUGUUGUGGAAGGAAAUGUUUAAACAAGCUGGGACCAAGCUCCGGAUGUCUUCUGCAUAUCAUCCCCAGACUGAUGGGACCACCGAAAGAGUGAAUCAGUGCAUGGAGACCUACCUUCGCUGUUUUGUUCAUUCCUGCCCGCACAGAUGGUUCCAGUGGCUGCACCUCGCCGAGUUCUAGUACAAUACGUCCUCGCACUCUGUGUUGCAGGCUUCGCCGUUCGAGGUUCUAUAUGGGCACCCUCCUCGCCAUUUCGGGAUCGUGGACGUGUCCGCCACCGCUCCAGUGGAUUUGGUCACCUGGCAUGAGGAAAGGGCAGUGGUUUUAGCCCUAUUAAAGCAGCAGUUGGAACGGUCCAGGUAGCGGAUGAAAGAUCAGGCGGAUAAGCGUCGAUCGGAGCGGGUUUUUGCUGUGGGGGACUGGGUAUACGUGAAGCUGCAGCCGUAUGUGCAGGUCUUAGUCGCGGCUCGGGCUAACCACAAGUUAUCAUUCAAGUACUUUGGUCCUUUUCAGGUGACGGCGCGCAUUGGAGCAGUGGCGUAUCGCGUCCAACUUCCAGAAGGCAGUCACAUUCACCCGGUGUUCCAUGUUUCCCUGCUGCGGGCAGCUCUGCCACCAGGCACCGACGUAGUGACCGUCCUGCUGGAACCGCCGUUGGCUCACGCGGCGCCGGAUUUCCCUGAGCGUGUGCUCGCUCGCCGGGUCGUCACCAGAGGACAGGCGCAACUUCCCCAAGUGCUGGUCAAGUGGUCUUCGCAACCGGAGGCGCUAGCGACCUGGGAGGAUUUCUUCGAGCUCCGGAGCCGUUUUCCUGGAGCUGAGGCUUGGGGACAAGCCGUGUUUGAAGACCGGGGGGAUGUCACGGCCUCUACUACUACCGCGACAGGCAACAAGGAGGCCCGGCCCAAGAGAGCUAAGAAGCCCAACAGGCUGUUCGACCCGGCCACCUGGGAGCUGGGUGGGUGAUCGAUAAGUAGGUGUGAGCCCGAGGGGUUGGGGCACGGCAUUGUAAUCAGUCAAUCGAUCUCACCUACUAUCCCCUUUCCUCCCAACUCCUGUAACCUCUCCCCUCCGAUCCCCUUUCUCUCUCAAGAACCCUAGCUACCGAAUCUCCCUGUAUCGCCAUGAAUUGAGUAGAUCGAGCAAGAGGGACGUAACAGAGUUCUAUGACUAGCAUUUGAGCAUCAAUUUUUUUAAAUGGAAUUUUAUGACUAGCAUUGGCCUUUUUGGACCGUGUGUUCUCACCUGAUAGUGUUGGUACACCGUUUGUGAUUUUUGGAACUAUGGGCUCUCCUAAAGGUGACAUCGCACUACUUCCCUCCAUUUCAGAUUGAGAUGCACCAACAAAACGGCGGGGGUGAGCUUAGUAGUUGACGAGCCGCGAUCUAUCCAGCAUACCCAAACCAGACAUUGUGUUCUGCACCAAAAUCCAAAUAGCUGAUUGUUUAAUCACCUUGAUAUAACAAAAUGAGACAUCAGCCCAAUUACAAGACUGCCAAGUUAAGGUUGCAAAUUAAAGAGAUGCACACAAGCAGACUUAUUUUUACAUACAAAAGGUAACAAAGGUGCAGUAUUUUUUACAACCAGCGUGUUAUUACAACUGAAUGAGGAAGAGCAAAGAGCUAACACAAUAGUUUCACUACAGCAAAUCUAGAAUGAUUUUUGGUUUCAGUGCCAUUACUGGAUAAAUAGAUUGUAAACUCUCAAAAACUAGUGAAGUGGUACAUAUUGUUAGUGUGUAAUAAAUUUCAGCCUUGUACUGACAAGCACUUAACUUUCAAGUACUUUAAUAGGUAGAUGAGAUUAGUUUGUUCUCAUGUACAGUUCCAGCAAGUUAAUGAAGUUCACAAUAUCAAAUUGGUCGAAAUCUAGUCCAAGCAAAAUAUAGCAAUCUGACUGGGAAUAAGAAAAAACACCUAUAUAUCCAAUUGGAAGAUAGUUACCCAUUGAAUGAUCUUUUAUUCCCAAAAAUGAUACUCCAGUCUAUUAGUUUUGAUGCUCUUUUCAUCUACAUUCCAUCACAUGUGCGAGGGGUCUCCAAAAAAUACUCUUGCGAUUUCUUACUAUGACAACUAUAAUGGGUCAGUAAUAAUGUUUUCUACAAUUUCAUACUCCCUCCGUUCCAAAAAAGAUGACUCAACUUUGUACUAACUUUAGUACAAAGUUAGUAUAAAAUUGGGUCAUCUAUUUUGGAACAGAGGGAGUAUAAUGGAACAUGCUUAAUAAGGGGGCCACCAGAGUUCAAGAUUCUUAUCUUCUACUACUAUGGAGUCUAUAGUACAGAAAUACUUGAAUUUUGAUUAGCUAUCCACCAAGACUAGUGAGCAAUUAUACGCCAUUGGUUUGUUCCAGAAGAUGAAUAUCCAUCGUCCGCCAGUACGCAACCCAAGUGACCCAACAACUGACAUUUAUGUAAUUCGCUCUGUACGGACAUGUGCCAAAGCGACUGCGCGACCUUUCUGGAAUCCUCGCGGAUCCAAAUGCACCCACUCACAAUAUCAAUGGGUUUGUUCUUGUGCAAAAGUCUGCUAUUUAAAAUCUGUUGUGGCUACUCUGAACUCCACUGCUAUCAAUGAUUGGAGGAUCGGACUAUAAUUAACCCUCACAAAUGAACGGGUAAACAACUAGUACUUUCACAAAUCAAUGACAUCUGCACCACCAAAAAAAGAAUCGUAUCUACACUGAACUUCCAACGGAUUGGACAAUAAAGUUUUGUACAUCUUCAACAGAAAUUUAACACUAAAAAGAACUGUAGUAUGCAACACACUACUAGGAAAAGGGCUAUAGAUGGAAUGGACACUAAUGGCGCACCUGUCAUGUGGUACGCCACUACUACAUAGCAGUGGCGCACCAUGUGCUGGUGCGCCAUUAGUGUGAAAGACACUAAUGGCGCACCUGGCACAUGGUGCGCCACUAGUAACAUAAUUUUUUUUUUAUUUUUCCAAACAUACUAAUGGUGCAUCACUGCACAGUGCGCCAUUACUAGUGCUAACUAGUAAUGGCGCACCGGCCACACAGUGCGACACUAUUGUUGUUUUUUUAUUCCUUUUUUUGCAAAACUACUAAUGGCGCAUCGUAGCAUAGUGCGCCAUUACUAGUUUAAACUAGUAAUGGCGCACCGUAGCAUAGUGCGCCAUUACUAGUUUAAACUAGUAAUGGCGCACUAUGCCACGGUGCGCCAUUAGAAUUUUUUUUUGCAAAACUUCUAAUGGCGCAUCAUCAGCAGGUGCGCCAUUAGUAUGUUGGGUUACUAAUGGCGCAUGACUGUGUGGUGCGCCAUUAGUAACCUGGGACCAGUUAGAUAUUUUGGACAGCCACACCUACACACUCACUUUCCCCACUUCAUUCCCUCCACCUCCUUCUCCAAGCUUGUCGGCUGCCUCCUCCUCCUCACCUCAUUUGCACCAUAGAUUCAUCAAAAUUAAGUGGUGAAACUACCUUUUUUGAUAGGUAAGUAAGGGGCAAGCUAUCUUCAUGUUGUAGAUCUAUUUUUUUUUCUUCCUAGCUCGCUCCAACAACGUGCACAUGCACUUUUUGUGGCCUAGCUAGAUCUAUGUAUGGUCGUGGUGUUGCAUAUGUUUAUGGUGUUGCAUAUAUGUUUGUGUUUGCAGGUACCGGUAUUUGAAAUGCGAUAGUUGCCAAUAUUUUGCCGGAAUGUUGAUUCAUUUCUGUUUCGGCGAGAAUUUUGGCACUAUGCAUUCUUUUUGGUCCUAUUUUUAGGGAAAGUCAUGCCAAAUUUUUUCUUGGUUCUAAAAUAUCGUUUUGCUCUACCCCGCAGGCGACCAUGGUUCACACGAUGACCGAAGGCAUCAUGAAUAGGUUUUUGAGCUCCGCGAAGGCCGAGAUGCUUCAAAAGAACGAGACGGAGAUAAGAUGUCCGUGUCGAAGAUGCAAGCUGAAGAGCCUUAUUGCAGACCCGGAUUCCGGGUAGGUGCGGGACCACCUGCUCUUGCGUGGUUUCAUGGAUGGCUAUCGGUGGCAAGGUGAUGAAGAUGACUAUGAAGUCGUCCAUGGGGGCCGGGCAAGAAAUGAGGAAGGGCAGAAAGACAACCACCGCGGCUCGGGCGGGCAAGAAGACGAAGAAUCUCCAGGACAUGAUCACGACAGUGAUGCUGUACACAGUCAUCAUGUAGAAGAUGCCGGACAUGAUGAUGAGGAAGAUGCCGGAGCAGACGAAGGGCAUGAUCAUGAAGAUGAAGAUGCCGGUGGAGCAGACGACGAUGGACCAUCGAUGGGCUGGGUGCAGGACCCUCAUAUUCAAGAGCUGCUUCUCAAGCAGACGGAUAACGCAAGAGCUGCCGCCCGAGAGAAAGCCAAGCUGGAUCAACUGGAGAUAGACGCGGUUACUCCAUUGUAUGAAGCAUGCAGGCCCGAGGAUACCCGCCUGAAAGUAACGCUCAUGGCUCUGGUGAUGAAGGUAAAACACAAAAUGACCGACGCAUGCUUCGACGAGAACAUGUCAUUCUGGCACGAACGUCUUCCCAAGGGAAACAAGUGUCCGACCAGUUUCGAGGAGGCGAAGAAAAUCGUGUGUCCUCUGGAUUUACCGCACGUGAAAUACCAUGUGUGCAUGAACAAUUGCAUCAUUUAUCGUGACGAGCACGCGGAGUCUACCAUAUGUCCGGUGUGCGGCAUCACUCGAUACAAGAAGAGGAAGAAAGCUUCUCGAAAAGUGGUGUGGUACUUUCCGAUCACUCUCGUCUGCAGCGGUAUUUCGCGGACCCUAAGGUAGCAAAGCUCCUGCGUUGGCACGCGGAUAGGGAGGAGAAGAAGCGAGAAGAUGACGCAAAUGAUUCGGAGAUAAACAAAAAAUACAAGAUGCUGAGUCACCCAAAGGAUGCGUGCCAGUGGCAAGCGUUGAAUUUCGAACACCCAGAAUUUGGGAAGGAUCCAAGGAACAUCAUGUUGGGCACGAGCACCGAUGGAGUCAAUCCGUUUGGCAGCCAGAGAAGCACACAUAGCACCUGGCCUGUGUUUGUGUGGAUGUACAACCUUCCCCCUGGUUGUGCAUGAAGAGGAAGUACAUUCACAUAAGUAUGCUAAUUGAAGGGCCGAAACAACCAGGGAACGACAUCAAUCUGUAUCUGGGGCUGCUGAAAGAGGAGCUAGACACGCUGUGGAAAACGCCAGCCAAUACAUGGGAUGCCGCAGAGAAAGAAUAUUUCCCUAUGAGAGCCGCACUGCUCAUGACGGUGCACGACUAUCUCGGUUACGGAUAUCUCGCGGGGCAGGUGGUCCACGGAUUUUCUGGAUGCGUCAGGUGCAUGGAUGACACAAUGUAUCGCCAGCUAGAUAGAGAUCCCGGGUCUUCGAAAACCGUGUUCAUGGGACAUCGAAGGUGGCUUCGCGACGAUGACCCGUGGAGGAAACGCAAGGAUCUGUUCGAUGGUGAAACCGAACCCCAAAGAUGCCCGCGUACGAGGAGCGGCGAGGAAAUAGACCAGCUGUUGAAAAAUUGGAAAGAUUGCCCACUGCCGCCAGAGCCGAGAAAGAAGUGAAAGGCGCCAGAGCCGCUGCUGAAGGUAUGGAAAACGAGGUCUGUUUUCUGGGACUUGCCAUACUAGAAGAUCCACCGUGUGCCUCACAGCCUUGAUGUCAUGCAUAUCACGAAGAACGUGCGAGAGUCUGCUUGGUACCUUGCUCAACAUGCCAGAGAGGACCAAAGAUGGGCCGAAAGCAAGGGCAAACUUGAAAUCAAUGGGCAUCAGGGAGGAGCUUCACGCUAAUGAUGAUGAUGAUGAUGAGGCGAAGCAGGACACGGAAAGUCGUCGCAAAGGUAAAAAGGCCAAGAAGACCGGAAAUGACUACCAUCCCGCAUGGUUCACUCUAAGUCAGGAGGAGAUCGAGCAGUUUUUCACCUACCUCAUAGGAGUAAAACUUCCUUACGGUUACGCGGGGAAGAUAAGCAGAUGCCUAGACCCACGAAGCAGCAGCGGGAUGAAGUCUCAUGACUAUCACGUGCUGAUGACGCAGAUACUUCCAGUUGCAAUCCGUGGGAUCAUGGACGCGCACGUCCGUGAAACGCUAUUUGGCCUAUGCAACUUUUUCUACGUCAUCUCUCGGAAGUUGGUUGGCGUGAGGCAACUCAGAAGGCUACAGGAAGAGAUCGUGGUGAUACUAUGCGAGCUUGAGAUGUACUUCCCGCCCGCAUUCUUCGAUGUUAUGGUUGUUGGGGAACGUUGCAGAAAACAAAAAUUUUCCUACGGUUUCACCAUGAUCCAUCUAUGAGUUCAUCUAGCAACGAGUGAUCGGAUUGCAUCUACAUACCUUUGUAGAUCACGCGCGGAAGCGUUCAAAGAACGGGGAUGAGGAAGUCGUACUCGACGUGAUCCAAAUCACCGGAGAUCCUAGCGCCCAACGGACGGCACCUCCGCGUUCAGCACACGUACGGUCAGCGUGACGUCUCCUCCUUCUUGAUCCAGCAAGGGGGAAGGAGAGGUUGAUGAAGAUCCAGCAGCACGACGGCGUGGUGGUGGAUGCAGCAGUCACCGCAGCAGGGUUUCGCCGAGCUUCUACGAGAGGGAGAGGUGUAGCAGGGGAGAGGGAGGCGCCAAGGCUUAAGGGUGCGGCUGCCCCUCCCUCCCCCCUCCUUUUAUAUAGGCCCCCUUGGGGGGGGGGCGGCCCUUGGAGAUCAGAUCUCCCAAGGGGGGCGGCGGCCAGGGGGGUUGGAGUACCCCCCAAGGCAAGUGGGGCGCCCCCCCACCCUAGGGUUUCCAACCCUAGGCGCAGGGGGUGGGCCAAGGGGGGUGCACCAGCCCACUAUGGGCUGGUUACCCUCCCCACUUCAGCCCAUGGGGCCCUCCGGGAUGGGUGGCCCCACCCGUUGGACCCCCUCGGGACCCAUCCGAUGGUCCCGGUACAAUACUGGGUGACCCCGAAACUCUCCCGAUGGCCGAAAAUGCACUUCCUAUAUAUAAUUCUUCACCUCCGGACCAUUCCGGAACUCCUCGUGACGUCCAGGAUCUCAUCUGGGACUCCGAACAACUUCCGGGUUACUGCAUAUUCAUAUCUCUACAACCCUAGCGUCACCGAACCUUAAGUGUGUAGACCCUACGGGUUCGGGAGACAUGUAGACAUGACCGAGACGGUUCUCCGGUCAAUAACCAACAGCGGGAACUGGAUACCCAUGUUGGCUCCCACAUGCUCCUCGAUGAUCUCAUCGGAUGAACCACGAUGUCGAGGAUUCAGGCAAUCCCGUAUACAAUUCCCUUUGUCAAUCGGUACGUUACUUGCCCAAGAUUCGAUCGUAGGUAUCCCAAUACCUCGUUCAAUCUCGUUACCGGCAAGUCACUUUACUCGUACCGUAAUGCAUGAUCCCGUGACCAGACACUUGGUCACUUUGAGCUCAUUAUGAUGAUGCAUUACCGAGUGGGCCCAGAGAUACCUCUCCGUCAUACGGAGUGACAAAUCCCAGUCUUGAUCCGUGUCAACCCAACAGACACUUUCGGAGAUACCCGUAGUAUACCUUUAUAGUCACCCAGUUAUGUUGUGACGUUUGGUACACCCAAAGCACUCCUACGGUAUCCGGGAGUUACACGAUCUCAUGGUCUAAGGAAAAGAUACUUGACAUUGGAAAAACUCUAGCAAACGAACUAUACGAUCUUGUGCUAUGUUUAGGAUUGGGUCUUGUCCAUCACAUCAUUCUCCUAAUGAUGUGAUCUCGUUAUCAAUGACAUCCAAUGUCCAUAGCCAGGAAACCAUGACUAUCUGUUGAUUAACGAGCUAAUCAACUAGAGGCUUACUAGGGACAUGUUGGUGUCUAUGUAUUCACACAUGUAUUACGAUUUCCGGAUAACACAAUAAUAGCAUGAAUAAAAGACAAUUAUCAUGAACAAGGAAAUAUAAUAAUAAUCCUUUUAUUAUUGCCUCUAGGGCAUAUUUCCAACAGUCUCCCACUUGCACUAGAGUCAAUAAUCUAGUUACAUUGUGAUGAAUCGAACACCCAUAGAGUUCUGGUGUUGAUCAUGUUUUGCCCUAGGGAGAGGUUUAGUCAAUGGAUCUGCGACAUUCAGAUCCGUAUGUACUUUACAAAUAUCUAUGUCUCCAUCUUGAACAUUUUCACGAAUGGAGUUGAAGCGACGCUUGAUGUGCCUGGUCUUCUUGUGAAACCUGGGCUCCUUGGCAAGUGCAAUAGCUCCAGUGUUGUCACAGAAGAGUUUGAUCGGCCCAGGCGCAUUGGGUAUGACUCCUAGGUCGGUGAUGAACUCCUUCACCCAAAUUGCUUCAUGCGCUGCCUCCGAGGCUGCCAUGUACUCCGCUUCACAUGUAGAUCCCUCCACGACGCUCUGCUUGCAACUGCACCAGCUUACUGCCCCACCAUUCAAAAUAUACACGUAUUCGGUUUGUGACUUAGAGUCAUCCAGAUCUGUGUCGAAGCUAGCGUCGACGUAACCCUUUACGACGAGCUCUUCGUCACCUCCAUAAACGAGAAACAUUUCCUUAGUCCUUUUCAGGUACUUCAGGAUAUUCUUGACCGCUGUCCAGUGUUCCUUGCCGGGAUUACUUUGGUACCUACCUACCAAACUUACGGCAAGGUUUACAUCAGGUCUGGUACACAGCAUGGCAUACAUAAUAGAAUCUAUGGCUGAGGUAUAAGGGAUGACACUCAUCUCUUCUAUAUCUUCUACCAUGGUUGGACAUUGAGCUGAGCUCAAUUUCACACCUUGCAACACAGGCAAGAACCCCUUCUUAGACUGAUCCAUAUUGAACUUCUUCAAUAUCUUAUCAAGGUAUGUGCUUUGUGAAAGACCUAUGAGGCAUCUUGAUCUAUCUCUAUAGAUCUUGAUGCCUAAUAUAUAAGCAGCUUCUCCAAGGUCCUUAAUUGAAAAACUCUUAUUCAAGUAGGCCUUAAUGCUGUCCAAAAGCUCUAUAUCAUUUCCCAUCAAAAGUAUGUCAUCUACAUAUAAUAUGAGAAAUGCUACAGAGCUCCCACUCACUUUCUUGUAAAUGCAGGCUUCUCCAUAAGUCUGCAUAAACCCAAACGCUUUGAUCAUCUCAUCAAAGCGAAUGUUCCAACUCCGAGAUGCUUGCACCAGCCCAUAAAUCGAGCGUUGGAGCUUGCACACCUUGUCAGCAUUCUUAGGAUCGACAAAACCUUCCGGCUGCAUCAUAUACAAUUCUUCCUUAAGGAAACUAUUAAGGAAUGCCGUUUUGACGUCCAUUUGCCAUAUCUCAUAAUCAUAGUAUGCUGCAAUUGCUAACAUAAUUCGGACGGACUUCAGCUUCGCUACGGGAGAGAAAGUCUCAUCGUAGUCAACCCCUUGAACUUGCCGAUAACCCUUAGCGACAAGUCGAGCUUUAUAGAUGGUAACAUUACCAUCCGCGUCCGUCUUCUUCUUAAAGAUCCAUUUGUUUUCUAUCGCUCGCCGGUCAUCGGGCAAGUAUGUCAAAGUCCAUACUUUGUUUUCAUACAUGGAUCCUAUCUCAGAUUGCCUGGCUUCAAGCCAUUUGUUGGAAUCUGGGCCCGCCAUCGCUUCUUCAUAGUUCGAAGGUUCACCGUUGUCUAACAACAUGAUUUCCAAGACAGGGUUGCCGUACCACUCUGGUGCGGAACGUGUCCUUGUGGACCUACGAAGUUCAGUAGAAACUUGAUCUGAAGUUUCAUGAUCAUCAUCAUUAACUUCCUCUCUAGUCGGUACAGGCACCUCAGGAACAUUUUCUUGAGUUGCGCCAUUUUUCGGUUCAAGAGGUAAUACUUCAUCAAGUUCUACUUUCCUCCCACUUACUUCUUUCGAGAGAAACUCCUUCUCUAGAAAGGAUCCAUUCUUGUCAACAAAGAUCUUGCCUUCGGAUCUGAGGUAGAAGGUAUACCCAAUAGUUUCUUUAGGGUAUCCUAUAAAGACACAUUUUUCCGACUUGGGUUCGAGCUUUUCAGGUUGAAGUUUCUUGACAUAAGCAUCGCAUCCCCAAACUUUUAGAAACGACAGCUUAGGCUUCUUACCAAACCAUAAUUCAUACGGUGUCAUCUCAACGGAUUUCGACGGAGCCCUAUUUAAAGUGAAUGCGACAGUCUCUAAAGCAUAGCCCCAAAAGGAUAGCGGUAAAUCGGUAAGAGACAUCAUAGAUCGCACCAUAUCUAAUAGAGUGCGAUUACGACGUUCGGACACACCAUUACGCUGAGGUGUUCCAGGCGGUGUGAGUUGUGAAACUAUUCCACAUUUUUUUAAGUGUGUGCCAAAUUCGUGACUCAAGUAUUCUCCCCCACGAUCUGAUCGCAAGAACUUGAUUUUACUGUCACGUUGAUUCUCAACCUCACUCUAAAAUUCCUUGAACCUUUCAAAGGUCUCAUACUUGUGUUUCAUUAAGUAGACAUACCCAUAUCUACUCAAGUCAUCAGUGAGGGUGAGAACAUAACGAUAACCACCGUGAGCCUCAACACUCAUUGGACCGCACACAUCAGUAUGUAUGAUUUCCAAUAAGUUGGUUGCUCGCUCCAUUGUUCCUGAGAACGGAGUCUUGGUCAUUUUUCCCAUGAGGCAUGGUUCGCACGUGCCAAAUGAUUCGUAAUCAAGAGACUCUAAAAGUCCAUCUGCAUGGAGCUUCUUCAUGCGUUUGACACCUAUGUGACCAAGGCGGCAGUGCCACAAGUAUGUGAGACUAUCAUUAUCAACCUUACAUCUUUUGGUAUUAACACUAUGAAUAUGUGUAGCAUUACGCUCGAGAUUCAUUAAGAAUAAACCAUUCACCACAGGAGCAUGACCAUAAAACAUAUCUCUCAUAUAAAUAGAACAACCAUUAUUCUCGGAUUUAAAUGAGUAGCCAUCUCGAAUUAAACGAGAUCCUGACACAAUGUUCAUGCUCAAAGCUGGUACUAAAUAACAAUUAUUGAGGUUUAAAACUAAUCCCAUAGGUAAGUGUAGAGGUAGCGUGCCGACGGCGAUCACGUCAACCUUGGAACCAUUCCCGACGCGCAUCGUCACCUCGUCAUUCGCCAGUCUCCGCUUAUUCCGCAGCUCCUGCUUUGAGUUACAAAUGUGAGCAACUGCACCGGUAUCAAAUACCCAGGAGCUACUACGAGUACUAGUAAGGUACGCAUCAAUUACAUGUAUAUCACAUAUACCUUUCGUUUUGCCGGCCUUCUUGUCCGCUAAGUAUUUGGGGCAGUUCCGCUUCCAGUGACCACUCUCCUUGCAAUAAAAGCACUUAGUCUCGGGCUUGGGUCCAUUCUUUGGCUUCUUCCUGGCAGCUUGCUUGCCGGGCGCGGCAACUCCCUUGCCGUCCUUCUUGAAGUUCUUCUUACCCUUGCCUUUCUUGAACUUAGUGGUUUUAUUCACCAUCAACACUUGAUGUUCCUUUUUGAGUUCUACCUCUGCUGAUUUCAGCAUUGCAAAUACUUCAGAAUGGUCUUUUCCAUCCCCUGCAUAUUGAAGUUCAUCAUAAAGCUCUUGUAGCUCGGUGGAAGCGACUGAAGGAUUCUGUCAAUGACCGCGUCAUCCGGGAGAUUAACUCCCAGCUGAGUCAAGCGGUUAUGCAACCCAAACAUUUUGAGUAUGUGCUUGCUGACAGAACUAUUUUCCUCCAUCUUACAGCUGAAGAACUUGUCGGAGACUUCAUAUCUCUCGACCCGGGCAUGAGCUUGAAAAACCAUUUUCAGCUCUUUGAACAUCUCAUAUGCUCCGUGUCUCUCAAAACGCUUUUGGAGCCCCGGUUCUAAGUUGUAAAGUAUGCCGCACUGAACGAGGGAGUAAUCAUCAGCACGUGUCUGCCAAGCGUUCAUAACGUCUUGGUUCUGUGAGACGGGUGCAUCACCUAGCGGUGCUUCUAGGACAUAAUCUUUCUUGGCAGCUAUGAGGAUGAUCCUCAGGUUCCGGACCCAGUCCGUAUAGUUGCUGCCAUCGUCUUUCAGCUUGGUUUUCUCUAGGAACGCGUUGAAGUUGAGGACAACGUGGGCCAUUUGAUCUACAAGACAUAUUGUAAAGAUUUUAGACUAAGUUCAUAAUAAUUAAGUUCAUCUAUUUAAUGAACUCCCACUUAGAUAGACAUCCCUCCAGUCAUCUAAGUAUAACAUGAUCCGAGUUAACUAGGCCGUUUCCGAUCAUCACGUGAGACGGACUAGUCAACAUCGGUGAACAUCUUCAUGUUGAUCGUAUCUUCUAUACGACUCAUGCUCGACCUUUCGGUCUUCUAUGUUACGAGGCCAUGUCUGUACAUGCUAGGCUCGUCAAGUCAAUCUAAGUGUUUGCAUGUGUAAAUCUGUCUUACACCCGUUGUAUGUGAACGUUGGAAUCUAUCACACCCGAUCAUCACGUGGUGCUUCGAAACAACGAACUGUCGCAAUGACGCACAGUUAGGGGGAACACUUUCUUGAAAUUAUUAUGAGGGAUCAUCUUAUUUACUACCGUCGUUCUAAGUAAACAAGAUGCAAAAACAUGAUAAACAUCACAUGCAAUCAAAUAAUAAUAGUGACAUGAUAUGGCCAAUAUCACAUAGCUCCUUUGAUCUCCAUCUUGGGGCUCCAUGAUCAUCUUGUCACCGGCAUGACACCAUGAUCUCCAUCAUCAUGAUCUCCAUCAUCGUGUCUCCAUGAAUUUGCUCGCCAACUAUUACUUCUACUACUAUGGCUAACACGUUUAGCAAUAAAGUAAAGUAAUUUACAUGGCAUUUCUCAAUGACACGCAGGUCAUACAAAAAAUAAAGACAACUCCUAUGGCUCCUACCGGUUGUCAUACUCAUCGACAUGCAAGUCGUGAUUCCUAUUACAAUAGCAUGAACAUCUCAUACAUCACAUAUAUAUCAUUCAUCAUUCAUCACAACUUUGGCCAUAUCACAUCACAAAACACUUGCUGCAAAAACAAGUUAGACAUCCUCUAAUUGUUGUUGCAAGUUUUACAUGGCUGCAAUAGGGUUCUAGCAAGAACGUUUUCUUACCUACUUGAAAGCCACAACGUGAUUUGUCAACUUCUAUUUACCCUUCAUAAGGACCCUUUUCAUCGAAUCCGCUCCAAAUAAAGUGGGAGAGACAGACACCCGCCAGCCACCUUAUGCAACUAGUGCAUGUCAGUCGGUGGAACCGGUCUCACGUAAGUGUACGUGUAAGGUUGGUCCGGGACGCUUCAUCCCACAAUACUGCUGAAGCAAAAUAAGACUAGUAGCGGCAGGAAAGUUGACAACAUCCACGCCCACAACAAGUUGUGUUCUACUCAUGCAAAAAGAACUACGCAUAGACCUAGCUCAUGAUGCCACUAUUGGGGAACGUUGCAGAAAACAAAAAAAUUCCUACGGUUUCACCAAGAUCCAUCUAUGAGUUCAUCUAGCAACGAGUGAUCGGAUUGCAUCUACAUACCUUUGUAGAUCACGUGCGGAAGCGUUCAAAGAACGGGGAUGAGGAAGUCGUACUCGACGUGAUCCAAAUCACCGGAGAUCCUAGCGCCGAACGGACGGCACCUCCGUGUUCAACACACGUACAGUCAGCGUGACGUCUCCUCCUUCUUGAUCCAGCAAGGGGGAAGGAGAGGUUGAUGAAGAUCCAGCAGCACGACGGCGUGGUGGUGGAUGCAGCAGUCACCGCAGCAGGGCUUCGCCGAGCUUCUACGAGAGGGAGAGGUGUAGCAGGGGAGAGGGAGGCGCCAAGGCUUAAGGGUGCGGCUGCACCUCCCUCCCCCCCUUUUAUAUAGCCCCCCUUGGGGGGGGGGCGCCGGCCCUUGGAGAUCAGAUCUCCCAAGGGGGGCGGCGGCCAGGGGGGUUGGAGUACCCCCCCAAGGCAAGUGGGGCGCCCCCCUCCCUAGGGUUUCCAACCCUAGGCGUAGGGGGUGGGCCAAGGGGGGCGCACCAGCCCACUAUGGGCUGGUUCCCCUCCCCACUUCAGCCCAUGGGGCCCUCCGGGAUGGGUGGCCCCACCCGUUGGACCCCCCGGGACCCAUCCGGUGGUCCCGGUACAAUAUCGGUGACCCCGAAACUCUCCCGAUGGCCGAAACUGCACUUCCUAUAUAUAAUUCUUCACCUCCGGACCAUUCCGGAACUCCUCGUGACGUCCGGGAUCUCAUCCGGGACUCCGAACAACUUUCGGGUUACUACAUAUUCAUAUCUCUACAACCCUAGCGUCACCGAACCUUAAGUGUGUAGACCCUACGGGUUCGGGAGACAUGUAGACAUGACCGAGACGGUUCUCCGGUCAAUAACCAACAGCGGGAUCUGGAUACCCAUGUUGGCUCCCACAUGCUCCUCGAUGAUCUCAUCAGAUGAACCAUGAUGUCGAGGAUUCAGGCAAUCCCGUAUACAAUUCCCUUUGUUAAUCGGUACGUUACUUGCCCGAGAUUCGAUCGUAGGUAUCCCAAUACCUCGUUCGAUCUCGUUACCGGCAAGUCACUUUACUCGUACCGUAACGCAUGAUCCCGUGACCAGACACUUGGUCACUUUGAGCUCAUUAUGAUGAUGCAUUACCGAGUGGGCCCAGAGAUACCUCUCCGUCAUACAGAGUGACAAAUCCCAGUCUUGAUCCGUGUCAACCCAACAGACACUUUCGGAGAUACCCGUAGUAUACCUUUAUAGUCACCCAGUUACGUUGUGAUGUUUGGUACACCCAAAGCACUCCUACGGUAUCCGGGAGUUACACGAUCUCAUGGUCUAAGGAAAUGAUACUUGACAUUGGAAAAACUCUAGCAAACGAACUAUACGAUCUUGUGCUAUGUUUAGGAUUGGGUCUUGUCCAUCACAUCAUUCUCCUAAUGAUGUGAUCUCGUUAUCAAUGACAUCCAAUGUCCAUAGCGAGGAAACCAUGACUAUCUAUUGAUUAACGAGCUAGUCAACUAGAGGCUUACUAGGGACAUGUUGGUGUCUAUGUAUUCACACAUGUAUUACGAUUUCCGGAUAACACAAUUAUAGCAUGAAUAAAAGACAAUUAUCAUGAACAAGGAAAUAUAAUAAUAAUCCUUUUAUUAUUGCCUCUAGGGCAUAUUUCCAACAAUGGUGCAUCUGCUGGUCCAUAUCGUGGAGGAUAUCAUCCAACUCGGGCCGACGUUCCUGCACAGCAUGAUGCCGUUCGAAAGGAUGAAUGGUGUCAUCAAAGGAUACGUUUGCAACAUGUCACGUCCAGAGGGAAGCAUAGCCAGGGGCUUUCUGACCAAAGAGUGCAUCUCCUAUUGCACGAAUUAUCUAGGCAUCGAGGACCCCAUUGGUCUUCCCGUCAACAGGCACCUCGGCAGGCUCGGUGGAUGGGGUCACCGUGAGGGUCGCCGCGAAAUGCAUGUCAACUUGGAGGGUCGACUCGCCGACUUUGAAAGAGCAAACCUAGUCGCGCUACAACACAUAGACAUGGUCGAUCAUUAGGUGGUAGAGCACAAAACCUUUAUUGAGAAGACGUACAAUGACCAAGGCCAACAGAGGACGGACGGAGAUAUAAUCAAAGAGCACAACUCAUGUUUCACGCGUUGGUUCAAGCAGAAGCUUAUGUCGUACCCUUUACAUGAGGAUUCUUCCGCGGAAGAACAACUCAUAUUCGCCUUGUCACAGGGCGCCGAGCACAACCUGAUGACCUAUGAGGCGUACGAUAUCAACGGUUACACAUUCUACACCAAGGACAAGGACAUGAAGAGCGAUGGUUAUCAGAACUCCGGGGUAACGAUGGAAUCCUACACCGGUAACGACAAGGACAGAUACCAUGGAAGGAUAGAGGAGAUCUGGGAGCUGAGCUACGCUGGAGAGAAGGUCCCGAUGUUCCGUGUCAGAUGGGCCAAGAGCAUCCUAAAAGAAGACCGGUAUUUCACCACCAUGGUUAUACCCGAAGCCAAAUCCAAGACCGCGGGCGCAAACGUCACCGCGAAAAAUGAGCCAUGCGUACUGGCUUCCCAAGUGGACCAAUGCUUCUUCAUUACCGACCGGCCAACAGAGGACGGACGGAGAUAUAAUCAAAGAGCACAACUCAUGUUUCACGCGUUGGUUCAAGCAGAAGCUUAUGUCGUACCCUUUACAUGAGGAUUCUUCCGCGGAAGAACAACUCAUAUUCGCCUUGUCACAGGGCGCCGAGCACAACCUGAUGACCUAUGAGGCGUACGAUAUCAACGGCUACACAUUCUACACCGAGGACAAGGACAUGAAGAGCGAUGGUUAUCAGAACUCCGGGGUAACGAUGGAAUCCUACACCGGUAACGACAAGGACAGAUACCACAGAAGGAUCGACGAGAUCUGGGAGCUGAGCUACGCUGGAGAGAAGGUCCCGAUGUUCCGUGUCAGAUGGGCCAAGAGCAUCCUAAAAGAAGACCGGUAUUUCACCACCAUGGUUAUACCCGAAGCCAAAUCCAAGACCGCGGGCGCAAACGUCACCGCGAAAAAUGAGCCAUGCGUACUGGCUUCCCAAGUGGACCAAUGCUUCUUCAUUACCGACCCGUCAAAGCCCAGUCGUGUUGUCGUGAGGAGAGGAAAAAGGAAGAUCAUCAGAAUGGAUGGAGUAGCCAAUGAGCAAGACUUCGACAAGUAUGGUGACCCGAAGAUUUAACAUGAUGACGACGAUGAAGUAGCGGCAUACACCACAAGAGGAAGCAGGACCAUCCUACCUAAAGGACGUCCGUUCCACAGAAGAACUCCAUUUGCGAAAAAGAAGGGCAAGAAGAUUGUGAACAGAUAGCUAGCUAAGAUCGAUUGUAUUUAAAUAGUAGCCUUCAUUUCUCGAUUGUAUUUCAUGGGCACUUUUUGAACCCAUGAAUGUUUUUAAAUUUCAUGGACACUCGAUCUCGAUCCCCCUCCAUCUCCAUCGCUAUCCCACCUCGCCAGAUCCGGUCCCCCUCGCCGCCGAGNNNNNNNNNNNNNNNNNNNNNNNNNNNNNNNNNNNNNNNNNNNNNNNNNNNNNNNNNNNNNNNNNNNNNNNNNNNNNNNNNNNNNNNNNNNNNNNNNNNNNNNNNNNNNNNNNNNNNNNNNNNNNNNNNNNNNNNNNNNNNNNNNNNNNNNNNNNNNNNNNNNNNNNNNNNNNNNNNNNNNNNNNNNNNNNNNNNNNNNNNNNNNNNNNNNNNNNNNNNNNNNNNNNNNNNNNNNNNNNNNNNNNNNNNNNNNNNNNNNNNNNNNNNNNNNNNNNNNNNNNNNNNNNNNNNNNNNNNNNNNNNNNNNNNNNNNNNNNNNNNNNNNNNNNNNNNNNNNNNNNNNNNNNNNNNNNNNNNNNNNNNNNNNNNNNNNNNNNNNNNNNNNNNNNNNNNNNNNNNNNNNNNNNNNNNNNNNNNNNNNNNNNNNNNNNNNNNNNNNNNNNNNNNNNNNNNNNNNNNNNNNNNNNNNNNNNNNNNNNNNNNNNNNNNNNNNNNNNNNNNNNNNNNNNNNNNNNNNNNNNNNNNNNNNNNNNNNNNNNACCCACCGCACCCUCUCCCCCGCACCCUCCCCGGCCCGCUCCACCGUCACAAAUGAAUGCAACUAAAAUUGCAAAAAAAAACAAAUUUGAUUAUAUUUUCAAAUAACAAAUUUGAUGAUAUUUUCAAAUAAUAAAUUUGAUGAUAUUUUUUCAUAUUCAUAAAUAUUUUCAAAUAACAAAUUUGAUGAUAUUUUUAAAAAAUUAUUAUUGUUUUUAUAAAAAAAUAUCACUGUUAUGAUUUAAACAAGUUUGAACAUAUUUAAACACAAAUAAAUAUCAAACAACAUUUUAAAUGCAUAAAAACAAAAAUUGGGGAGCCUGGGAAUCGAACCCAGGACCUCCUAGUGUGUGUGCUGCAUGCUGACCAGUCGGGCUAGUGGGUGUGUUCUGAUGGAGAUAGGGUUAGGUGGAAUAUAACCUGACCAGUCGGGCUAGUAAUUAAAACAAAAUUCUAAUGGUGCAUCAGUGGGAGGUGCACCAUUAGAAUCAUCAUACUUAUGGCGCACUAGGGGGAGGUGCGCCAUUGCUAACCCUCCCCCACUCCACCUAUUCCCCUCGCACUGUGGCCUCCCUCCCUCCCUCGCCAGAUCCCCCACUCGACCCCAACCGUACGCCGCCGCCCCCUUGCUCCGCCCCCUCCAUUCGCCGCGCCUGCACGCCGUCGGCGACGCCGCCGUUGCUGUGGUCUUGCGCUGCCCCGACGCCACCGCCGCGACCCCCGCGGGACUCCACCCCCACCGCCCUCGCGCCCCCUGAACGGGAUCGGUCGAGCGCGCGCCGCCCGCUCCUCUCCUCUCCUCCUCGCUCUGACGAGCGAGGGCCUCCUCCGGCCCCUGCAGCAGCCGGCGAGCGCGGCCCCGAUGCACCCACCCUGCCUGCCCCUGUCGUCCUCCGCCACCGGCCCCUGCUCUCCUUCGACCACGGCGAGCUCGGACCCGGACGAGCUCGGACCCCGACCCCGACCCCGACCCCUUCGGCGACCAGGUACCUCUCCUCCUUCCUCCUUCCUCCCUCUCUCCACCAUUCCCCAUUCCCUCCCUCCCUCCCCUCGACCGUGGCAGUGUUUGUUUUAGUGACAAAUAUGAUCAAUAGGCAAUACUAGUGGAUAUUAGGCCUUUUUACAGGCAAUAAUAGUGGGUGAUGUACCUGGAUGUCUGUGGGCGAUGCUCAGGUGGUAUGUAUGAUGUCUCUGCUUUUUUUGAGAUUGCUGCUGCUAUCUCACCAGAUUAUAUGUAGUGUGUCAUUCUUGCUAUGGUCAUGUAAGAGAAAUGCUCUGCCUUGCUAAUUUUACCAUGAGAUUUGGGGUAAUCAGCUAGUUCUGGUCAAAGCAAGUGGUUUUCCUGAGCUAUGCCUUGGUUAGAAAAUGAUGCAUGAUGGUUUGUUCAGAAGAGGAAUAAUCCCAGGAUAACACGUAUCAUGGGGUCAAACCUGGGACCCCUAUUGUAAUUUGAUUUUGAUUAUUAAUUUUUCUGUGAGUAGAUGAAUUACAGUGUUUGUGUUGUAAUGAAACUUGAGCUGAAAUAGAACUUGACAGCCUGUACAGUGAAUAUAUACAGUCAUUGUAAUUUUUGGGAGUAAUUUUUGGUGUCAAAUCACUCAAGCAGUAACUGAAUUUUCAAACUGAACUUGACACAAUACUAUUCAGUUAAUUUGCUUGGACAGUAGUAUGUAUGCUCAUCACUUUAUGUAUGGUGUUAUUGAAGGAAAUAUGCCCUAGAGGCAAUAAUAAAGUUAUUAUUUAUUUCCUUAUAAUCAUGAUAAACGUUUAUUAUUCAUGCUAGAAUUGUAUUAACCGGAAACAUAAUACAUGUGUGAAUACAUAGACAAACAAAGUGUCACUAGUAUGCCUCUACUUGACUAGCUCGUUAAUCAAAGAUGGUUAUGUUUCCUAACCAUGAACAACGAGUUGUUAUUUGAUUAAUGAGGUCACAUAAUUAGUUGAAUGAUCUGAUUGACAUGACCCAUUCCAUUAGCUUAGCACCCGAUCGUUUAGUAUGUUGCUAUUGCUUUCUUCAUGACUUAUACAUGUUCCUAUAACUAUGAGAUUAUGCAACUCCCGUUUGCCGGAGGAACACUUUGGGUGCUACCAAACGUCACAACGUAACUGGGUGAUUAUAAAGGAGCAUUACAGGUGUCUCCAAAGGUAGAUGUUGGGUUGGCGUAUUUCGAGAUUAGGUUUUGUCACUCCGAUUGUCGGAGAUGUAUCUCUGGGCCCUCUCGGUAAUGCACAUCACUUAAGCCUUGCAAGCAUUGCAACUAAAUGAGUUAGUUGCGGGAUGAUGUAUUACAGAACAAGUAAAGAGACUUGCCGGUAACGAGAUUGAACUAGGUACUGGAAUACCGACGAUCGAAUCUCGGGCAAGUAACAUACCGAUGACAAAGGGAACAACGUAUGUUAUGCGGUCUUACCGAUAAAGAUCUUCGUAGAAUAUGUAGGAGCCAAUAUGGGCAUCCAGGUCCCGCUAUUGGUUAUUGACCGAAGACGUGUCUCGGUCAUGUCUACAUUGUUCUCGAACCCGUAGGGUCCGCACGCUUAAGGUUACGAUGACAGUUAUAUUAUGAGUUUAUGCAUUUUGAUGUACUGAAGGUUGUUAGGAGUCCCGGAUGUGAUCACGGACAUGACGAGGAGUCUCGAAAUGGUCGAGACAUAAAGAUUGAUAUAUUGGAAGCCUAUGUUUGGAUAUCGGAAGUGUUCCGGGUGAAAUCGGGAUUUUACCGGAGUACCGGGAAGGUUACCGGAACCCCCCCGGGAGCUAAAUGGGCCAUGAUGGGCCUUAGUGGAAAAGAGAAGAGGCAGCCCUACAUGGGCUGUGCGCCUCCCCCUUCCCCUAGUCCUAUUAGGACUAGGAGAGGUGGCCGGCCCCCUCUCUCUCUUUUCCCCCUCCGCGAAUCCUAUUCCAACUAGGAUUGGGGGGGGGGAAUCCUACUCCCAGAGGGAGUAGGACUCUCCUAGAGCGCCACACCUUGGCCGGCCAGCCUCCCCCCUCUAGUCCUUUAUAUACUGAGGCAGAGGCAUCCUAGAACACACAAGUUGAUCCACGUGAUCUAUUCCUUAGCCGUGUGCGGUGCCCCUGCCACCAUAGUCCUCGAUAAUACUGUAGCGGAGUUUAGGCGAAGCCCUGCUGCUGUAGUGCAUCAAGAUCGUCACCACGCCGUCAUGCUGACAGAACUCUUCCCCGACACUUUGCUGGAUCGGAGUCCGGGGAUCGUCAUCGAGCUGAACGUGUGCUCGAACUCGGAGGUGCCGUAGUUUCGGUGCUUGAUCGGUUGGAUCGUGAAGACGUACGACUACUUCCUCUACGUUGUGUCAGCGCUUCCGCAGUCGGUCUGUGUUGGGUACGUAGACAACACUCUCCCCUCUCGUUGCUAUGCAUCACAUGAUCUUGCGUGUGCGUAGGAAUUUUUUUGAAAUUACUACGAAACCCAACAGUGGCAUCAGAGCCUAGGUUAUUUAUGUUGAUGUUAUAUGCACGAGUAGAACACAAGUGAGUUGUGGGCGAUAUAAGUCAUACUGCCUACCAGCAUGUCAUACUUUGGUUCGGCGGCAUUGUUGGACGAGACGACCCGGACCAACAUUACGCAUACGCUUACGCGAGACCGGUUCCCCGACGUGCUUUGCACAUAGGUGGCUUGCGGGCGACUGUCUCUCCAACUUUAGUUGAACCGAGUAUGGCUACGCCCGGUCCUUGCGAAGGUUAAAACGGAGUCAAAUUGACAAACUAUUGUUGUGGUUUUGAUGCGUAGGUAAGAUUGGUUCUUGCUUAAGCCCGUAGCAGCCACGUAAAACUUGCAACAACAAAGUAGAGGACGUCUAACUUGUUUUUGCAGGGCAUGUUGUGAUGUGAUAUGGUCAAGACAUGAUGCUGAAUUUUAUUGUAUGAGAUGAUCAUGUUUUGUAACCGAGUUAUCGGCAACUGGCAGGAGCCUUAUGGUUGUCGUUUCAUUGUAUGCAAUGCAAUCGCGAUGUAAUGCUUUACUUUAUCACUAAGCGGUAGCGAUAGUCGUAGAAGCACAAGCUUGGCGAGACGACAACGAUGCUACGAUGGAGAUCAAGGUGUCACGCCGGUGACGAUGGUGAUCACGACGGUGCUUCGGAGAUGGAGAUCACAAGCACAAGAUGAUGAUGGCCAUAUCAUAUCACUUAUAUUGAUUGCAUGUGAUGUUUAUCCUUUUAUGCAUCUUAUCUUGCUUUGAUUGACGGUAGCAUUAUAAGAUGAUCUCUCACUAAAUUAUCAAGAAGUGUUCUCCCUGAGUAUGCACCGUUGCAAAAGUUCUUCGUGCUGAGACACCACGUGAUGAUCGGGUGUGAUAGGUUCUACGUUCAAAUACAACGGGUGCAAAACAGUUGCACUCGUGGAAUACUCAGGUUAUACUUGACGAGCCAAGCAUAUACAUAUAUGGCCUCGGAACACGGAGACCGAAAGGUCGAGCGUGAAUCAUAUAGUAGAUAUGAUCAACAUAAUGAUGUUCACCAUUGAAGACUAAUCCAUUUCACGUGAUGAUCGGUUAUGGUUUAGUUGAUUUGGAUCACGUGAUCACUUAGAAGAUUAGUGGGAUGUCUAUCUAAGUGGGAGUUCUUAAGUAAUAUGAUUAAUUGAACUUAAAUUUAUCAUGAACUUAGUCCUGGUAGUAUUUUGCAAAUUAUGUUGUAGAUCAAUAGCUCGCGUUGUUGUUUCCCGUGUUUAUUUUGAUAUGUUCCUAGAGAAAAUUGUGUUGAAAGAUGUUAGUAGCAAUGAUGCGGAUUGGAUCCGUAGUCUGAGGUUUAUCCUCAUUGCUGCACAGAAGAAUUAUGUCCUUGAUGCACCGCUAGGUGACGGACCUAUUGCAGGAGUAGAUGCAGACGUUAUGAACAUUUGGCUAGCUCAAUAUGAUGACUACUUGAUAGUUUAGUGCACCAUGCUUAAUGGCUUAGAAUCAGGACUUCAAAGACGUUUUGAACGUCAUGGAGCAUAUGAGAUGUUCCAGGAGUUGAAGUUAAUAUUUCAAGCAAAUACCCGAGUUGAGAGAUAUGAAAGUCUCCAACAAGUUCUAUAGCUAAAAGAUGGAGGAGAAUCACUCAACUAGUGAGCAUGUGCCCAGAUUGUCUGAGUACAACAAUCGCUUGAAUCAAGUGGGAGUUAAUCUUCCAGAUAAGAUAGUGAUUGACAGAAUUCUCUAGUCACCAUCACCAAGUUAGUAGAACUUUGUGAUGAACUAUGAUAUGCAAGGGAUAACGGAAACGAUUCCCAAGCUCUUCGUAAUGCGGAAAUUGACGAAGGUAGAAAUCGAGAAAAACAUCAAGUGUUGAUGGUAGACAAGACCACUAGUUUCAAGAAAAGGGCAGAGGGAAGAAAGGGAACUUCAAGAAGAACAGCAAGCAAGUUGCUGCUCAAGUGAAGAAGCCCAAGUCUGGUCCUAAGCCUGAGACUAAGUGUUUCUACUUCAAAGGGACUGGUCACUGGAAGCGGAACUACCCCAAGUGAUUGGCAGAUAAGAAGGAUGGCAAAGUGAACAUAAGUAUAUUUGAUAUACAUGUUAUUGAUGUGUACUUUACUAGUGUUUAUAGCAACCCCUCAGUAUUUGAUACUAGUUCAGUUGCUAAGAUUAGUAACUCGAAACGGGAGUUGCAGAAUAAACAGAGACUAGUUAAGGGUAAAGUGACGAUGUGUGUUGGAAGUGAUUCCAAGAUUGAUAUGAUCAUCAUCGCACACUCCCUAUACUUUCGGGAUUAGUGUUGAACCUGAAUAAGUGUUAUUUGGUGUUUGCGUUAAGCAUGAAUAUGAUUUGAUCAUGUUUAUUGUGAUACGGUUAUUCAUUUAAGUAAGAGAAUAAAUUGCUGUUCUGUUUACAUGAAUAAAACCUUAUAUGGUUACACACCCAAUGAAAAUAGUUCGUUGGAUCUCGAUCGUAGUGAUACACAUAAUUAUAAUAUUGAAACCAAAAGAUGCAAAGUUAAUAAUGAUAGUGCAACUUAUUUGUAGCACUGCCGUUUAGGUCAUAUUGGUGUAAAGCGCAUGAAGAAACUCCAUGCUGAUGGGAUUUUGGAAUCACUUGAUGCUUGCGAACCAUGCCUCAUGGGCAAGAUGACUAAGACUCCGUUCUCCGGAGCGAGCAACUGACUUAUUGGAAAUAAUACAUACUGAUGUAUGCGGUCCGAUGAGUGUUAAGGCUCACGGCAAGUAUCGUUAUUUUCUGAACUUCACAGAUGAUUUGAGCAGAUAUGGGUAUAUCUACUUGAUGAAACAUAAGUCUGAAACAUUUGAAAAGUUCAAAGAAUUUCAGAGUGAAGUGAAAAAUCAUCGUAAAAAGGAAAAUAAAGUUUCUACGAUCUGAUCGUAGAGAAGAGUAUUUGAGUUACGAGUUUGGCCUUCAAUUAAAACAAUGUGAAAUAGUUUCACUACUCACGCCACCUGGAACACCAUAGUGUAAUGGUGUGUCCGAACAUCAUAACCGUACUUUAUUGGAUAUAGUGCGAUCUAUGAUGUCUAUUACCGAUCUAUCACUACUGUUUUGGGGUUAUGCAUUAGAGACAGUUGCAUUCACGUUAAAUAGGGCACCAUCUAAGUCCGUUGAGACGACACAAUCUGAACUGUGGUUUGGCAAGAAACCAAAGUUGUCGUUUCUUAAAGUUUGGGGUUGUGAUGCUUAUAUGAAAAAGUUUCAUCCUAAUAAUCUCAAACCCAAAUCGGAGAAAUAUAUCUUCAUAGGAUACCCAAAGGAGACUGCUGGGUACACCUUCUAUCACAAAUCCGAAGGCAAGACUUCUGUUGCUAAAAUUCGGAGUUUUUCUAGAGAAGGAGUUUCUCUCGAAAGAAGUGAGUGGGAGGAAAGUAGAACUUGACGAGGUAACUGUACCUUCUCCCUUAUUGGAAAGUAGUUCAUCACAGAAAUCUGUUCUUGUGACUACUACACCAAUUAGUGAGGAAGCUAAUGAUGAUGAUCAUGUAACUUCAGAUCAAGUUACUACCGAAUCUCGUAGGUAAACCAGAGUGAGAAUCCGCACCAGAGUGGUACGGUAAUCCUGUUCUGGAAAUCGUGUUACUAGACCAUGAUGAACUUGCGAACUAUGAGGAAGCGAUGAUGAGCCCAGAUUCCGCGAAAUGGUUUGAGGCCAUGAAAUCUGAGAUAUGAUCCAUGUAUGAGAACAAAGUAUGGACUUUGAUGGAUUUUGCCCGAUGAUCGGCAAGCCAUAGAAAAUAAAUGGAUCUUCAAGAGGAAGACAGAUGCUGAUAGUAGUGUUACUAUCUACAAAGCUAGAAUUGUCGCAAAAAGGUUUUCGACAAGUUCAAGGUGUUGACUACGAUAAGAGUUUCUCACUCGUAUCUAUGCUUAAGUAUGUCCGAAUCAUGUUAGCAAUUGCCGCAUUUUAUGAAAUCUGGCAAAUGGAUAAACAAAACUACAUUCCUUAAUGGAUUUAUUAAAGAAGAGUUGUAUGUCAUGCAACAAGAAGGUUUUGUCAAUCCUAAAGGUGCUAACAAAAUAUGCAAGCUCCAGCGAUCCAUUUAUGGACUGGUGCAAGCAUCUCGGAGUUGGAAUAUACACUUUGAUAAGUUGAUCAAAGCAUAUAGUUUUGUACAGACUUGCGGUGAAGCCUGUAUUUACAAGAAAGUGAGUGGGAGCACUACAACAUUUCUGAUAAGUAUAUGUGAAUGACAUAUUGUUGAUCGGAAAUAAUGUAGAAUUAUUCUGUAAAGCAUAAAGGAGUGUUUGAAAGGAGUUUUUCAAAGAAAGACUUCGGUGAAGCUGCUUACAUAUUGAGCAUCAAGAUCUAUAGAGAUAGAUCAAGACGCUUGAUAAGUUUUUUCAAUAAGUACAUACCUUGACAAGAUUUUGAAGUAGUUCAAAAUGGAACAGUCAAAGAAAAAUAAUUUCUUGCCUGUGUUACAAGGUGUGAAGUUGAGUAAGACUCAAAGCCCGACCACGGCAGAAGAUAGAAAGAUAAUGAAAGUCAUUCCCUAUGCCUCAGCCAUAGGUUCUAUAAAGUAUGUCAUGCUGUGUACCAGAUCUAUUGUAUACCCUACACUAUGUUAAGCUAGGGAGUACAAUAGUGAUCUAAGGGUAGAUCACUGGACAGCGGUCAAAAUUAUCCUUAGUGGAAUAAGGAAAUAUUUCUCAAUUAUGGAGGUGACAAAAAGGUUCGUCGUAAAAAGUUACGUCGAUGCAAGUUUUGACACAGAUCUGGAUGACUCUAAGUCUCGAUCUAGAUACAUAUUGAAAGUGGCAGCAAUAAGCUAGAGUAGCUCCGUGCAGAGCAUUGUUGACAUAAAAAUUCGCAAAAUACUUACGGAUCUGAAUGUGACAGACCCGUUGACUAAAAUUAUCUCACAAGCAAAAACAUGAUCACACCUUAGUACUCUUUGGGUGUUAAUCACAUAGCGAUGUGAACUAGAUUAUUGACUCUAGUAAACCCUUUGGGUGUUUAUCACAUAUCGAGGUGAACUAUGGGUGUUAAUCACAUGGUGAUGUGAACUAUUGCUGUUAAAUCACAUGGCGAUGUGAACUAGAUUAUUGACUCUGGUGCAAGUGGGAGACUGAAGGAAAUAUGCCCUAGAGGCAAUAAUAAAGUUAUUAUUUAUUUCCUUAUAAUCAUGAUAAAUGUUUAUUAUUCAUGCUAGAAUUGUAUUAAACGGAAACAUAAUACAUGUGUGAAUACAUAGACAAACAAAGUGUCACUAGUAUGCCUCUACUUGACUAGCUCGUUAAUCAAAGAUGGUUAUGUUUCCUAACCAUGAACAACGAGUUGUUAUUUGAUAAACGAGGUCACAUCAUUAGUUGAAUGAUCUGAUUGACAUGACCCAUUCCAUUAGCUUAGCACCCGAUCGUUUAGUAUGUUGCUAUUGCUUUCUUCAUGACUUAUACAUGUUCCUAUAACUAUGAGAUUAUGCAACUCCCGUUUGCCGGAGGAACACUUUGGGUGCUACCAAACGUCACAACGUAACUGGGUGAUUACAAAGGAGCAUUACAGGUGUCUCCAAAGGUAGAUGUUGGGUUGGCGUAUUUCGAGAUUAGGUUUGUCACUCCGAUUGUCGGAGAGGUAUCUCUGGGCCCUCUCGGUAAUGCACAUCACUUAAGCCUUGCAAGCAUUGCAACUAAAUGAGUUAGUUGCGGGAUGAUGUAUUACAGAACGAGUAAAGAGACUUGCCGGUAACGAGAUUGAACUAGGUACUGGAAUACCGACGAUCGAAUCUCGGGCAAGUAACAUACCGAUGACAAAGGGAACAACGUAUGUUAUGCGGUAUGACCGAUAAAGAUCUUCGUAGAAUAUGUAGGAGCCAAUAUGGGCAUCCAGGUCCCGCUAUUGGUUAUUGACCGAAGAUGUGUCUCGGUCAUGUCUACAUUAUUCUCGAACCCGUAGGGUCCGCAUGCUUAAGGUUACGAUGACAGUUAUAUUAUGAGUUUAUGCAUUUUGAUGUACCGAAGGUUGUUCGGAGUCCCGGAUGUGAUCACGGACAUGACGAGGAGUCUGGAAAUGGUCGAGGCAUAAAGAUUGAUAUAUUGGAAGCCUAUGUUUGGAUAUCGGAAGUGUUCCGGGUGAAAUCGGGAUUUUACCGGAGUACCGGGAAGGUUACCGGAANNNNNNNNNNNNNNNNNNNNNNNNNNNNNNNNNNNNNNNNNNNNNNNNNNNNNNNNNNNNNNNNNNNNNNNNNNNNNNNNNNNNNNNNNNNNNNNNNNNNNNNNNNNNNNNNNNNNNNNNNNNNNNNNNNNNNNNNNNNNNNNNNNNNNNNNNNNNNNNNNNNNNNNNNNNNNNNNNNNNNNNNNNNNNNNNNNNNNNNNNNNNNNNNNNNNNNNNNNNNNNNNNNNNNNNNNNNNNNNNNNNNNNNNNNNNNNNNNNNNNNNNNNNNNNNNNNNNNNNNNNNNNNNNNNNNNNNNNNNNNNNNNNNNNNNAUGGGCUGUGCGCCUCCCCCUUCCCCUAGUCCUAUUAGGACUAGGAGAGGUGGCCGGCCCCCUCUCUCUCUUUUCCCCCUCCGCGAAUCCUAUUCCAACUAGGAUUGGGGGGGGGGAAUCCUACUCCCAAAGGGAGUAGGACUCUCCUGGCGCGCCACACCUUGGACGGCCAGCCUCCCCCCUCUAUUCCUUUAUAUACUGAGGCAGAGGCACCCUAGAACACACAAGUUGAUCCACGUGAUCUAUUCCUUAGCCGUGUGCGGUGCCCCCUGCCACCAUAGUCCUCGAUAAUACUGUGCGGAGUUUAGGCGAAGCCCUACUGCUGUAGUGCAUCAAGAUCGUCACCACGCCGUCGUGCUGACGGAACUCUUCCCUGACACUUUGCUGGAUCGGAGUCCGGGGAUCGUCAUCGAGCUGAACGUGUGCUCGAACUCGGAGGUGCCGUAGUUUCGGUGCUUGAUCGGUUGGAUCGUGAAGACGUACGACUACUUCCUCUACGUUGUGUCAGCGCUUCCGCAGUCGGUCUGCGUUGGGUACGUAGACAACACUCUCCCCUCUCGUUGCUAUGCAUCACAUGAUCUUGCGUGUGCGUAGGAAAUUUUUUGAAAUUACUAUGAAACCCAACAGUUAUGCCCUGUUAUCUUUGUUCAGUUGACUAAUGAAGCACUAGGCUCAUCCAUGGUACAAGUUCACCUGUGAACACUUGAAAUUAGUCAGGACAUCCCGUACUGAUAGAUGUAAAUUGUGUCCAGUAGGCUUUGAAGCACCGGUUUUUCCUGUUUCUAACUCUGAAUCUGAUAUAAACCAUACUGUUGGCAUAAGUGGUCUUUUGUAUAUGUGCUAAUGCUUUGUUAAUAUAAAGCUAUAGAUGAUGUUGUACUUGUGAUCUUCUGAAAUGACCCAUUGGCGACUUCAUUACGCGGGGAUAAUGAUAUUGCAGGUACCCCGAGAGGCCCUUGAGUUUACCGGAAUGUCGAUUAACUUCCGUUCCGGCAAAUUCGGGUACUCCAUAUGUCCUAUUUUCAGGAAAGGUCAUGCUGAAAUUUUCCGUGAAUUUUAGCAUGACUUUGCUAAAAAUAGGACAUAUGGGGUACUUGCGACUAAUGCAUGGGUCGGGGUAUCUUAGUACUUAGUUAAGUAGGAUCAACUGCCCCGCCAUUCUUGCUGCAUAGGUGGCAAUAGAGCCAAGUGAUUAGUGCCAAGUGAUUAAGCCCAACCUAGGGUGCCUCUACAUCGAUAAACCCUAAAUGAUGAAAACUUAACUUAGCAUUUAGGGUGCCUCGGCGUCGACAAACCCUAAAUGAUGAAACCUUGGCUUCUAUAGGGUGCCUCGGUGUCGAUGAGAACCUAAAUGAUGUACGCUUAGGCUUUUUGGGUGCCUCGGCGUCGACAAACCCUAAACGAUAAAAGCUUAGCUUUUAGGAUGCCUCGGUGUCGACAAACCCUAAAUGAUGAGACCAUGAUCUUGUUCCUUGACAAUAACCAACUUUUUAACCAAACUUUUUUCCUAUUUAAAACGAAACAUGACCCACAACGAUGAGGCCGGCGGUUCGGGUGGCAAGCAAUUCUGGGAGCUGUCCCAGGAGGUGGAGGAACAACCUCACCGCUAUGAGGACGCCGCGGAAGACACCGAUCCUGACUACACAACCCCUAGUGGCGUCAGGGAUGAAACCACUGAUGGUGCCACCGAGGAUGCCACCACUGAUGAUGGCGGCGCACGCACAGAUGGCAGCCAACCGAAGAAGCAACGGAAGGACCGGCGCCCGAACGCGCUCUGCACCGUCAAGGAGGAAUUUACUCAAGUGGACUCCGACGGGCAUCCAACGGAUCCCAAAUAUAUAGUCAAGGGGUACUCGGUUCAGCUCGGGUGCAUUCUCCGAAGCACGUCUUGAUCAACACCGAGAACCUUAGGCAUAAGGACCGAGGGAAUUUGCGCAACCUCCUCUUCACGAAGCUGCACGAACGAUACAAGUUCCCCGCUGAAUUUGAAAACACACGCCUCUCAGGGAAUAAAGUGAACAGUGCCGCCCUCACGAGGAUGAGCACGACCCUGUCUACUUGGAAAAGCGCGGUGAAGAGAAUGAUUGAGAAAGGUGAUAGUUAUGAGAAGAUCAAGGCGAAAAAUCCUUCGAUCAGCGAAGAGGACUACAAGGAGUUCAAGAUCAACUGUGAGAGCCCCGCAACCUCCGAAUCAAGUCAGUGGGGGAAAGAAAUGCGGGAGUUAAACUUAGGGGAACACAAACUCGGUCCCGGCGGUUACAGAGUGGCGGAGCCUAUAUGGGACAAGGAGGACGCGGAGCAUGCCAAGCAAGGCCUACCGCCCCGCUUCGAGAAAUACAGCAGUGACAAGCAGACCAGGAACUAUGUCAGGGCCCGGUACAAGGAGGACCCGAUAUCAAAGGAGCUUACCAUGGAUCCGAAGACCAGGGCGCUUGAGCUUGUUCUGGCGAAGGAGACUGAAAGUAGUAGCACGGGGUCGUCUCAGAGCACCCCUGCUUGGGACAGCACUCUAAAUAGGGCGUUGAACGUAAUGAAAAACAAGGACAAGCUCACUAAGCCGUCGUUAGCUGGUCAUGUGGCCGACAAAGGCUUGUCAACAAAAUCGUCGUCAUACUAUACCGCUGGUGGGCGAAAGGAGAAAAAGACCAGCACGGAAAGCCAGUCGCGCGAGGUUGAAGCACUCAAGGCGCAAGUGGCGCGGAUUCCGGAGAUUGUCCAAGAGCAAGUGCAACAACAACUGGGAUCGACGCUCACCGGCAUUAUGCCUACCUUGAUUCAUGGGAUAACGCCGUGGAUUGCGGGUGGCCAACAGGGGCCGCCCCCGAUUCCCAGCUUCACGGCCAGCAACUCGCAUAAUGCGCAGGCGGCGCCAUUGGUGUCUCCGGCGGCGGCGGUAUUGGUGUCUCCGACACCGGCAUUGGAGCUUAAUGCACCCGGGUGUACGCCGGCCGGCACCUCGCCAGCAAGCGGCCCCUUCGUCAAUUGCACGCCCGCCAUUGGCGGUGCCUCGACAUUAGUCGAGCUCGACGCCAUCAUCACGGUAACUAAUUAAGCCUCUCGGUCGAGGACUUCAUCUCCUUGCCUUUGACUGGGCAUCCCUGACGCCCUACAUGUUUUCGCAGGGCGGCGCCGACCUUCCGUGCACUCUCCUGCACUUCGUGAACGACGAGUUGGUCGAUGUCGCCAAGGUCAAAAUCGUUCAACCGAGCAACCCCGUGUUCCACGGUAAACCGAUGCCACCCACCGUGUAUAGGGUUCAACUGGUUCGGGUGCUGCCAGGCUGCGACGAGUUGUUACCUCCGAUUCAACCCGCCGGGGCCGACGAAGAUGAUCUGAUGACCCUCAGCGUCUGCCUAAGCUGGCCCCUGCUUUGGCCGAAGAGCCAGAUUCGUUUGGGGGCGGGGGACACCACCCCAAAGACAACACCGCCAGUCGUGUCGGCACCAAGACAUGGCAAGACCGCCGCAACGCUACCGGACAUGCCGGACAUCCCUAUGGCACAGGAUCCAAACAUGCAUAUGGCACAGGAUCUGGAUGACGACGACAACGACGACGGUCGUACAUUUAGCAACGUCGAUAAGUACUUUGCCGAACAUGGGUACAAUGAAGAAUUCUACGAGCCUCUUUCUCAAGAACCCAACCAAGACGACCGCGGUCUAGCUGGUACGGCGGAGAAACCCAGUUGCAACAGGCGUCGUCUGGCGUUCAGUUCUCAGGAGACGCCUCCGGCUGCCGACUUCACCGAGCCUCAGGUAGCCGAGGUGCCAAAUAUUAUCAGCCCCAACACACUCAAGAAGGCGGUCUGUGAGCAGAACUCGGUCCCAUUACAACAGAAGAAGAAGGGACGGAAAAGAAAGAGUGACAAGGGUGCGAGCCAGCCGGCACCGAGUACGAUCCGUGCUCAGGACGGGCCACCUUCACCUAAGGAUAUCUCGAGGAGGGUGCAUGUGGCGGGUAGGGCGAUGCUACCAAAAAAUAUGCUCAAUGCUGCAACCGGUGCUAUGCGGAGUCUGCAUGACAGUGUUCUUUCUUUGGAGAAGCGGCGUCUCAGAGAGAAUGAUGUGGCAUACCCGGUUUUCGUGGCCAAGGUGCCAGAGGGCAAGGGAUUUGUGGAUGGCGCCAUCGAGGGUACGAUCGUCCUGUGGUUUGAUGACAUCUUUGCUAUGUUUAACCUUCAUCCGCUGCACUACACCUUCGUUCGGCUGUUUUCGCUGAGUAUGGAGAUGCGGAUCAUUAGAGACAAGACCCCAGACAUCGUGAUAGUCGACCCCUUCUACAUGCGUGCCAAGCUCUUGGGCAGCGCUGGGGACCGCCAAGUCACGAGUUCACACCUCAAAGGUGUCAUUCUGGCAAACCCAGAUAAGGAUAACUUCCUCGUGUCUUACUUUCCUGAGUAAGUCAUCCCUUAACCGCCCCGAAACAAAUGAUUUCUUAGAUUUCGAUCGUUCUUUCUUUUUUCUAACUUCUGUGUUUUGUGCAGUGACACACAUUGCACACUCAUCCUCUUAAGCCCGAAAUAUUCCAUGGCCACGUAUUUCGACCCGAACCAUGACUCCAAGAUAGACUACACAAAUAUCAAGAAAGUUCUUGAUGAUGUUCUCCCCGGCUACGCCAAAUCUGGAGGCACCUUCACCAAGCCAGUUCGUAGGUAUGGCAGGCACGUGUUCGCCCAUAAUACUAAGUUCUGCUGCAUCAAGCAGCCACCUAGCGGUCAGAAGGAUGCCUACUACGCCCUCCAUCACAUGCGGGUGAUCGUACGGGACCAUCAUCACCUUCUGCUACCAGAUAAUCUCAAAGAUUGGGCUGCGAGCUUGUCGGCAAUCCAGGACGCGGACAUCAGACAAGAAUUCUUUCGCAUCCAGUCGGAGUUUGCGGACAUCAUCCAUCAAGAUGUCCUUCAUACGUCAGGGCAGUUCUACCUCAGAUAUCAACCAUCCAACAGUGAGAUAGACACAACGCUACAAAUGCAGGUUGACAACACCCGCAAUUUCAUGACCAUCACGACAGACGGCGGCUUCAUCCACGCUCCGUUCCCAUGAGUCGAGUCGAAAGUAGUGAUGCUAUGUGUAGUUCUGAAACAUUGAUUGGCUCAUGUUGUAAUUAAAAUUUAAUGAACUUGUUGUUGGAAAUAUGCCCUAGAGGCGGUAAUAAAUUGGUUAUUAUUAUAUUUCCUUGUUCAUGAUAAUCGUUUAUUAUCCAUGCUAGAAUUGUAUUGAUAGGAAACUCAGAUACAUGUGUGAAUACAUAGACAACACCAUGUCCCUAGUAAGCCUCUAGUUGACUAGCUCGUUGAUCAAUAGAUGGUUACGGUUUCCUGACCAUGGACACUGGAUGUCAUUGAUAAUGGGAUCACAUCAUUAGGAGAAUGAUGUGAUGGACAAGACCCAAUCCUAAGCCUAGCACAAGAUCGUGUAGUUCGUAUGCUAAAGCUUUUCUAAUGUCAAGUAUCAUUUCCUUAGACCAUGAGAUUGUGCAACUCCCGCAUACCGUAGGAGUGCUUUGGGUGUGCCAAACGUCACAACAUAACUGGGUGCUAUAAAGGUGCACUACGGGUAUCUCCGAAAGUGUCUGUUGGGUUGGCAUGAAUCGAGAUUGGGAUUUGUCACUCCGUGUAAUGGAGAGGUAUCUCUGGGCCCACUCGGUAGGACACCAUCAUAAUGUGCACAAUGUGACCAAGGAGUUGAUCACGGGAUGAUGUGUUAUGGAACAAGUAAAGAGACUUGCCGGUAACGAGAUUGAACAAGGUAUCGGGAUACCGACGAUCGAAUCUCGGGCAAGUAUCGUACCGAUAGACAUAGGGAAUUGUAUACGGGAUUGAUUGAAUCCUUGACAUCGUGGUUCAUCCGAUGAGAUCAUCAUGGAGCAUGUGGGAGCCAACAUGGGUAUCCAGAUCCCGUUGUUGGUUAUUGACCGGAGAGUUGUCUCGGCCAUGUCUGCAUGACUCCCGAGCCCGUAGGGUCUACACACUUAAGGUUCGAUGACGCUAGGAUUAUAGGGAAUAGAUGUACGUGGUUACCAAAUGUUGUUCGGAGUCCCGGAUGAGAUCCCGGACGUCACGAGGAGUUCCGGAAUGGUCCGGAGGUAAAGAUUUAUAUAUGAUAAGUCAUCAUACGGUCAUCGGAAUAAUUCGGGGGUUACCGGUAUUGUACCGGGACCACCGAAGGGGUUCCGGGGGGUCCACCGAGAGGGUCCACCUGCCCCGGAGGGCCCUAUGGGCUGUGUGUGGAGAGGGACCAGCCCCUUAGUGGGCUGGGCGCCUCCCCCCUAGGGCCCAUGCGCCUAGGGUUUUGGGGAACCCUAAAGGGGGGCGCCCCCCUUGCCUUAGGGGGCAAGGCAACCCCCCUGGCCGCCGCCCCCUCCUCAGAUUGGAUCUGAGGGGGCCGGCCCCCCUCUCCCUUGCCCCUAUAUAUAUGUGGGGGGUGGGAGGGCAGCCGCACCCAAGUUCCGGCGCAGCCCUCCCCCUCUCCCAAGUCCUCCUCUUCUCCCGCGGUGCUUGGCGAAGCCCUGCAGGAUUGCCACGCUCCUCCUUCACCACCACGCCACCGUGCUGCUGCUGGAUGAAGUCUUCCCCAACCUCUCUUCUCCCUUUGCUGGAUCAAGGUGUGGGAGACGUCGCCGGGCUGCAUGUGUGUUGAACGCGGAGGCGCCGUUGUUAGGCGCUUAGAUCGGAAUCAAGUGCAAUCUGAAUCGCUGCGAGUACGCCUCGUUCAUCCGCGUUCUUGCAACGCUUCCGCUCGCGAUAUACAAGGGUAUGUAGAUGCACUCCCCUCUCCCUCAUUGCUAGAUGACUCCAUAGAUUGAUCUUGGUGAUGCGCAGAAAAUUUUAAAUUUCUGCUACGAUCCCCAACAGUGGCAUCAUGAGCCAGGUUUAUGCGUAGUUUCUAUGCACGAGUAGAACACAAGUUGUUGUGGGUGUCGAUUUUGUAAAUUUACUUGCCGUUACUAGUCUUAUCUUGAUUCGGCGGCAUCGUGGGAUGAAGCGGCCCGGACCAACCUUACACGUACUCUUACGUGAGACAGGUUCCACCGACUGACAUGCACGAGUUGCAUAAGGUGGCUAGCGGGUGUCUGUCUCUCCCACUUUAGUCGGACCGGAUUCGAUGAAAAGGGUCCUUAUGAAGGGUAAAUAGAAAUUGGCAUAUCACGUUGUGGUUUUGGCGUAGGUAAGAAACGUUCUUGCUAGAAACCUAUAGCAGCCACGUAAAAAAUUUGCAACAACAAUUAGAGGACUUCUAACUUGUUUUGCAGCAUAUGCCUUGUGAUGUGAUAUGGCCAAAAGGAUGCGAUGAAUGAUAUAUGUGAUGUAUGAGAUUGAUCAUGUUCUUGUAAUAGGAAUCAUGACUUGCAUGUCGAUGAGUAUGACAACCGGCAGGAGCCAUAGGAGUUGUCUUAAUUUAUUUAUGACCUGCGUGUCAACUUAAACGUCAUGUAAUUACUUUACUUUAUUGCUAAACCGUUAGCCAUAGUAGUAGAAGUAAUAGCCGACGAUACGAAUUCAUGAAGACACGAUGAUGGAUAUCAUGAUGAUGGAGAUCAUGGUGUCAUGCCGGUGACGAUGAUGAUCAUGGCGCCCCGAAGAUGGAGAUCAAAAGGAGCAAAAUGAUAUUGGCCAUAUCAUGUCACUAUUUGAUUGCAUGUGAUGUUUAUCAUGUUUUACAUCUUAUUUGCUUAGAACGACGGUAGCUUAAAUAAGAUGAUCCCUCGCAAUAAUUUCAAGAAAGUGUUCCCCCUAACUGUGCACCAUUGCGAAGGUUCGUUGUUUCGAAGCACCACGUGAUGAUCGGGUGUGAUAGAUUCUAACGUUCGAAUACAAUGGGUGUAAGCCAGAUUUGCACACGCAAUACACUUAGGUUGACUUGACAAUCCUAGCAUGUACAGACAUGGCCUCGGAACACGGAAGACCGAAAGGUCAAACAUGAGUCGUAUAGAAGAUACGAUCAACAUGAAUAUGUUCACCGAUGAUGACUAGUCCGUCUCACGUGAUGAUCAAACACGGCCUAGUUGACUCGGAUCAUGCAUCACUUAGAUGACUAGAGGAUGUCUAUCUGAGUGGGAGUUCAUUAAAUAAUUUGAUUAGAUGAACUUAAUUAUCAUGAACAUAGUCUAAAUUGUCUUUGCAAAUAUGUUGUAGAUAAAUAGCUCACGUUGUAGCUCCCUGUUUCAAUACGUUCCUAGAGAAAGACUAAGUUGAAAGAUACUGUAAGCAAUGAUGCGGACUGGGUCCGUAGUCCGAGGAGUGUCCUCACUGCUACACAGAAGGCUUACGUCUUUGAUGCACCGCUCGAUGUGCAAACCCCUACAACAUCGUAUGUGGAUAUUGUGAACACCUGACAGACACAUCCUGAUGACUACUUGGUAGUUUAGUGCACCAUACUUUACGCUUAGAAUCGGGAUUCCAAUGACGUUUUGAAUGCCAUAAGACAUAUGAGAUGUUCCAAGAGCUGAAAUUGGGAUUUCAGGCUCAUGCCCGUGUUGAGAGGUAUGAGACCUCUGACAAGUUCUUUUGCCAACAAGAUGGAGCAGAAUAGCUCAGCUAGUGAGCAUGUGCUCAAAAUGUCUGGGUGCUACAAUCACUUAAAUCAAGUGGGAGUUAAACUUCCAGAUAAGAUAGUGAUUGAUAGAGUUCUCUAGCCACUGUCACUAAGCUACUAGAUCUUCGUGAUGAACUAUGACAUGCAAGGGAUGGAGUUGAUCCCGGAGCUAUUCGCGGUGCUUAAGACCGCAAAAGGUAGAAAUCAAGGAGCAUCAAGUGUUGAUGGUUUAACAAGACCACUAGUUUCAAGAAGGGCAAGGGCUAGAAGGGAAACUUCAUGGAUGGCAAACCAGUUGCCGCUCCAGUGAAGGAACCCAAGGUUGAACCCAAACCCGAGACUAAGUGCUUCUAUUGUAAGGGGAACAGUCACUGGUAGCGGAAUUACCCCAAAUGCAUGGUAGAUAAGAAGGCUCGCAACUUCAACAAAGUAUAUACGUGUUAUUAAUGUGUACCUCACUAGUACUCCUGGUAGCACCUGGGUAUUGGAUACCGGUUCAGUUGCUAUUAUUGGUGACUUGAAGCAAAAGCUACAGACUGGCUAAGGGCGAGGUGACGAUGUGUGUUGGAAGUGUUUCCAAAGUUGAUGAGAUCACCAUCGCACGCUCCAUCUGCCUUCGGGAUUAGUAUUGAACCUAGAUAAAUGUUAUCAGGUGUCUACGUUGAGCAUGAAUAUGAUUAGAUCAUGUUCAUUGCAAUACGGUUAUUCAUUUAAGUUAGAGAAUAAUGGUUAUUCUGUUUACAUGAAUAAUACCUUUCAUGGUCAUGCACCCUAUGUGAAUGGUUCAGUGAAUCUCGGUCGUGGUAAUACACAUGUUCACGCCAAAAGAUGUAGAUAGUACCACUUUCUUGUGGCACUGCCGCUUAGGUCAUAUUAGCGUAAGAUGCAUGAAGAAACUCCGUGUCGAUGGAUGUUUGGAGUCACUUGAUUUUGAAUCGCUUGACACAUGCGAGCCAUGCCUCAUGGGCAGGAUGACUAAGACCCCGUUUUCAGGUACAAUCAAACAGGCAAGUGACUUGUUGGAAAUCAUACAUGCUGAUGCGUGUGAUCCAAUGAGAAUUGAAGCGUGCGGUAGAUAUCGCUAUUUUCUCAUCUUCACUUACGAUUUGAGUAGAUAUAGGUAUAUUUACUUAAUGAAGCACAAGUCUGAAACAUUUGAAAAGUUCAAGCGAUUUCAGAGUGAAGUUAAGAACCAUCAUAAUAAGAAGAUCAAAUUCCUACGAUCUAAUCGAUGAGAAUUUCUGAGUUAUGAGUUUGGCAAUCACUUAAGAUAUUGUGGAAUUGUUUCACAGUUGAAGCAACCUGGAACACCACAGGGUAAUGGUGUGUCCGGACGUCGUAAUAGAACCUUAUGAGAUAUGGUGCGAUCUAUGAUGUCUCUUACCGAUCUACCGUUUUCAUUUUGAGGAUAUGCAUUAGAGACAGCUGCAUUCACUUUAGAUAGGACAUCAUCUAAGUCCGUUGAGAUGAUGUCGUAUGAAUAUGGUUUGGCAAGAAACCAAAGUUGUCGUUUCUUAAUGUUUGGGGCUGCGAUGCUUAAGGCUUCAGCCGGAGAAGCUCGAACCCAAAAGCGGACAAACACAUCUUCAUAGGAUACCCAAAGGUGAUAGUUGGGUAUACCUUCUAUCUUAGAUCCGAGGGCAAAUUUUUUGUCGCUAAGAACGGGUCCUUUCUCAAGAAGGAGUUUCUCUCGAAAGAAUUGAGUGGGAGGAAGAUAGAACUUGAUGAGGUUGUCGAACCUUUACUUCAACCAGAGAGUGAUGCAACACAGAAAGAUGUUUUCUAUGGCGCCUACGUCUGUUGAAUAGGAAGUUAAUGAUAGUGAUCAUGAAGCUUCGUAUCAAGUUGCUAUCAAACCUCGUAGGUCGACAAGGAUAUGUACUACUAUUGAGUGGUACAGUAAUCAUGUCUUAGAUAUCAUGUUGUUAGACAACAAUGGACCUACGAGCUAUGGAGAAGCGAUGGUGGGCCCGUAUUCCGACAAACGGUUAGAAGCCAUGAAAUCCGAGAUAGGAUCCAUGUACCAGAACAAAGUAUGGACUUUGGUGGACUUGCCCGAUGAUCGGCAAGCCAUUGAGAUAAAUGGAUCUUUAAGAAGAAGAUGGGCGGUAAUGUUACCGUCUAUGAAGCUCGACUUGUGGGAAAGAGUCUUUUCACAAGUUCAAGGAGUUGACUACGAUGAGAAUUUCUCACCCGUAGCGAUGCUUAAGUCCGUCAGAAUCAUGUUAGCAUUAGCUGUAUUUUUCGAUUAUGAAAUCUGACAGAUGGAUGUCAAAAACAAGUUUUCUUACCAGUUUUCGUAAGAAAGAGUUGUAUGUGAUACAAUCAAAGUUUUGUCGAUCCUAAGGAUGCUAAAAGGUAUGCUGGCUCCAGCAAUCCUUCUAUGGACUAGAGCAAGCAUCUCGGAGUCGGAAUAUAUGCUUUGAUGGAGUGAUCAAAGCUUUUAGGUUUAUACAAUGUUUGCUAGAAACUUGUAUUUACAAGAAAGUGAGUGGGAGCACUACAACAUUUCUGAUAAGUAUAUGUGGAUGACAUAUUGUUGAUUCAAAAUAAUGUAGAAUUUCUGGAAAGCAUAAACGGUUGUUUGAAGAGUGAUUUUCAAAGGAAGACCUGGAUAAAGCUGCUUACAUAUUGGGCAUCAAGAUCUAUAGAGAUAGAUCAAGACGCCUGAUGAUACUUUCAAAGAACGCACACCUUGACAUGUUUUUGAAGGAGUUCAAAAUAGAUUAGUCAAAGAAGGGGUUCUUACCUGAGUUGUAAGGUGUGAAGUUGAGUAAGACUCAAAGCUUGACCACGGCAGAAGAAAGAGGAAGGACGAAGGUCGUCCCCUAUGCUUUUGUCAUAGGCUCUAUACGGUAUGCCAUGCUGAGUACCGCACCUGAUGUGUGCCUUGCCACAUGUCUGGCAAGAGGGUACAAAGGUGAUCUAGGAGUGUAUCACCAGAUAGCGGUCAAAAUUAUCCUUAGAGGAAUAAGGAAAUGUUUCUCGGUUAUGGAGGUAAUAAAGAGUUCGACGUAAAGAGUUACGUCGAUGCAAGCUUAACACCUAUCCAGAUAGCUCUAAGUAGAGAUACUGGAUACGUAUAAUGGAGCAACAAUUUGGAAUAGCUCCAAGUGGAACGUGGUAGCAGCAUCUACGAUAUGACAUAAAGUUUUGCGAAAUACAUAGGGAUCUGAAUAUUGUAGACUCGUUGACUACAACCUCUCUCACAAGCAUAACAUGAUCAAACCCAGAACUCAUUGAGUGUUAAUCACAUAGUGAUGUGAACUAGAUUAUUGAUUCUAGUAAACUCUUUGGAUGUUGGUCACAUGGCGAUGUGACUUGUGAGUGUUAAUCACAUGGCGAUGUGAACUAGAUUAUUGACUCUAGUGCAAGUGGGAGACUGUUGGAAAUAUGCCCUAGAGGCAAUAAUAAAUUGGUUAUUAUUAUAUUUCCUUGUUCAUGAUAAUCGUUUAUUAUCCAUGCUAGAAUUGUAUUGAUAGGAAACUCAGAUACAUGUGUGGAUACAUAGACAACACCAUGUCCCUAGUAAGCCUCUAGUUGACUAGCUCGUUGAUCAAUAGAUGGUUACGAUUUCCUGACCAUGGACAUUGGAUGUCGUUGAUAACGGGAUCACAUCAUUAGGAGAAUGAUGUGAUGGAUAAGACCCAAUCCUAAGCCUAGCACAAGAUCGUGUAGUUCGUAUGCUAAAGCUUUUCUAAUGUCAAGUAUUAUUUCCUUAGACCAUGAGAUUGUGUAACUCACGGAUACCGUAGGAGUGCUUUGGGUGUGCCAAACGUCACAACGUAAUUGGGUGGCUAUAAAGGUGCACCACGGGUAUCUCCAAAAGUGUCUGUUGGGUUGGCACGAAUCGAGACUGGGAUUUGUCACUCCAUGUAACGGAGAGGUAUCUCUGGCCCACUCGGUAGGACAUCAUCAUAAUGUGCACAAUGUGACCAAGGAGUUGAUCACGGGAUGAUGUGUUACGGAACGAGUAAAGAGACUUGCCGGUAACGAGAUUGAACAAGGUAUCGGGAUACCGACGAUCGAAUCUCGGGCAAGUAUCGUACCAAUAGACAAAGGGAAUUGUAUACGGGAUUGAUUGAAUCCUUGACAUCGUGGUUCAUCUGAUGAGAUCAUCGUGGAGCAUGUGGGAGCCAACAUGGGUAUCCAGACCCCGUUGUUGGUUAUUGACCGGGGAGUUGUCUCGGCCAUGUCUGCAUGACUCCCGAGCCCGUAGGGUCUACACACUUAAGGUUCGAUGACGCUAGGGUUAUAGGGAAUAGAUGUACGUGGUUAACGAAUGUUGUUCGGAGUCCCGGAUGAGAUCCCGGACGUCACGAGGAGUUCCGGAAUGGUCCGGAGGUAAAGAUUUAUAUAUGGGAAGUCAUCAUACGGUCACCGGAAUAAUUCGGGGGUUACCGGUAUUGUACCGGGACGACCGAAGGGGUUCCGGGGGUCCACCGGGAGGGUCCACCUGCCCCGGAGGGCCCUAUGGGCUGUGUGUGGAGAGGGACCAGCCCCUUAGUGGGCUGGGCUCCUCCCCCCUAGGGCCCAUACGCCUAGGGUUUUGGGGAACCCUAAAGGGGGGGCGCCCCCCUUGCCUUGGGGGGCAAGGCAAAUCCCCUGGCCGCCGCCCCCUCCUCAGAUUGGAUCUGAGGGGGCCGGCCCCCCUCUCCCCUGCCCCUAUAUAUAUGUGGGGGUGGGAGGGCAGCCGCACCCAAGUUCCGGCGCAGCCCUCCCCCUCUCCCAAGUCCUCCUCCUCUCCCGCGGUGCUUGGCGAAGCCCUGCAGGAUUGCCACACUCCUCCUUCACCACCACGCCGUCGUGCUGCUGUUGGAUGGAGUCUUCCCCAACCUCUCCUUCUCCCCUUGCUGGAUCAAGGCGUGGGAGACGUUACCGGGCUGCACAUGUGUUGAAUGCGGAGGCGCCAUUGUUCGGCGCUUAGAUCGGAAUCAACUGCGAUCUGAAUCGCUGCGAGUACGACUCCUUCAUCCGCGUUCUUGCAACGCUUCCGCUCGUGAUCUACAAGGGUAUGUAGAUGCACUCCCCUCUCCCGCGUUGCUAUAUGACUUCAUAGAUUGAUCUUGGUGAUGCGCAGAAAAUUUUAAAUUUCUGCUACGAUCCCCAACACUUGUAUGUCUCUUUGGUUUGGACAGUCGUUCAACUUAGAUAUAAUCGAUGCUAUUUAUUAGUAGGACCAUGAAUCGUGCUAUUAAUGUCUUGCUUUUCUCUUCCGAUCCUUUGUUGCAUAUUUAUAUAUUGCUUAUGUAUUGUUUGUUGUUUGGCUUGUGCAUAGAGAUGCCGUCGUAUGUCGUGUACAAGGGUAAGGUUCCCGGAGUCUACGGCGACUGGGAGGAGUGUCGGAGACAGGUUCACCGUUUCAGCGGUAACAGUUACAAAGGGUACACCACUAGGGCGGAGGCGGAAUCUAGAUACGCCCGCUAUCUAGUGGGAGAGAGGAGGGAUUGUUGGAGGAACCAGAUGAAGACCAGUUUCAUCACGAUGAUGCUCAUCGUGAUGACCGCAACUCUCUUCUAUGUGAUGGUAGUUUAGAUGAUCGAUAUCGACUUGUAAUGUGAACACAAACUCGCUACUCGCAGUCUCGAGACUUAUAAUGUUCUAUCUUUGUUCGGUCUUUUGAAUUCGGAGACUAAUAUGAUGAAUUGUAUUCGGAGACUAAUCUUCUAUUGUAUGAUGAAUCUGCUGGUGCUAUGUGCUGUUGUCUAAAUUCUGUAUAAUAAUAUAUUUUGUAACCUGUGAAAAUAUCAGAAAUGAAAAAAAAUAAUCUCUAAUAUUCAUACUAGUGGCGCACCACACAAGACACUAAUGGCGCACUGUGAUAAUUACACUAAUGGCGCAUCACCCACUGGUGCGCCAUUAGUACGCCAAAGCACAUGGGUACAUAUGGCCCCCUAGGAGGCAUUCUAAUGACGCACUGUGGGCUAUACUAAUGGCGCACUACAUGGUGCGCCAUUAGAACACCAGAUAGUAAUGACGCACCAGAGGUGCGCCAUUAGAAUUUAAUUCUAAUGACGUGAUGCUAGUGGCGCACCAGUAGUGCAUCAUUAGUACGCAAAACUGGUGCGCCACUAGCAUGCCUUUUCCCAGUAGUGACGUUGGCAGCCUCUAAAUAAGACAUAUCUUUUCAAAAAAAAAAGUGAGCGAGGGCAGAAAAUGUGAAUUGCACGUGCCUUCUACUGGUACGAUUGAACAAGAAAAAGGGUCAUCUGGCUGAUUCUUAUGUGACAAAUCUGGAAGGGGGGAGCCUUGUUGAGUUAAGCUACUGGGACAUAGAUACAUGGAGUUCAGUUUGUACAAUGCAAUGAUACCUGCAAAUCUGUAGUACUAGAGCAGUACCAGCCCUAUAGUACCUUCGGAUCUUGUCGAUUGCAAUGGGGCAAGACAGAUGGUAGAUCGAGGUUGUCCUCGGCGUUUGGGGAACUGUACCUGGAGAUUGGCUCGGCCAACGUCGCGGCGCAGCACAGGAGAGGUCCGCCCAGGCAGCCCGACCACCGGCGACGAGACGACCAAGAUUCCUCAAGUAGCCAAGGCCGCCCAGCUAGGUACAUCUAGGGGCGGAG
rnacentral:lncRNA from 1 species